rnacentral:lncRNA from 1 species
AUGAUGUCGGCGGCGAUCUCGUCGCGCUCGGGUUCGAAGAGCAGGUCGUGCAGGAACCCCUCGUACAGCCGCAGGUCCUUGUGCCUCGACGCCGCCUCCCUGUAGAGCUCCUGCGAGGCCAGCGGGUCCGUCACCCGGUCCGCCGUGCCGUGCAGGACUACAAACGGGACAGUCACCUUCUUCAGGUUGUGCAGCAGGUAGGAGGAGAUGCGCAGGAUCUCGUGGCCCGUACGGACCCUGAUCGGCCCCGUGUAGACCAGCGGGUCAGAGUACUUUGCUAGCAGCGCCGCAGGGUCGCGGGACACCGGGAUGCCCCGCUUGUUGGCUCCCUUGAAUUGGAACUUGGGUGCAAUCAGAGAGAAUAUCGGUGCCACUGCCUGCAUUUGAUUCAGAUGAGUCUCAGUGAUGAAACACGACUUGCCAUGCAGGUAAACCAAAAAUAUAUCGCGAAUUUUGAAGUUUUAAAUUUUGUGGAUGAAUUCAAAAGCAGAGCUUCUGAAAUAGCUCUACUUUUGAUAUGAGCGUACAAUAUCAAAAGUUCUCAAAUCAGCAUAAUUUGGAAUAAUAAUAGGAAACCAGAAUAGUUCUAUUACCCCGACUAUCGGAUGCGCUGGUUUUACACGCACAGCUGGUGAAGUCAGGAUGAUCCCUUCCAGUCUGGUUCUGAUAUGGGCGUACAGCGACGCCUGCAAGAUGACAGCUAGUGAUGAGCAACCAUGAAACAAGUAAGUUAAGCGUUGUUAAAUGAGCAUCGUUAGCCAAACCAUUUCAACCAGGCUAUUUUGUUAAUGCUUUGCACCACUCUCCGCCGUCAGGGUAUCCAUUGUUCACAGGCCCAGAGGAGUAGGGUCAGUGUCUAGAUCUGGCCUAAAUACCGAUGACAAAAAAGCGAUUUAAUUCGACAGGCCAUACCUUCAAAACAACAGCUCCACCAGUGGAGUGGCCGAGUAGAAAACAAGGAACAUCUGGAUUCUCCAGCAUAAUUUUAUCAAGAAGUACUUCCUGCUCAGAGAUGAUAAUAUUGCAUUACAUCAGCCAUCAGGAACAGUAGCAAGGAAAAAAAUAGUGUGCUAUACAAAACAACGUCGACCUUAAAAAUAUGCUAUUACCGUGUUAUAGCAUUGCCAUUAGCAAGAUAUUGUACACUGAUCAAUUUAGCGACACAAUUCUCUACACAUUAUACCGUGCUAUUAGCGGCGCUAUAUCGUGCUAUUUUUUUCAGUGAACAGAAUAGCUUUGUGCCUUCUAUGGAAAAACCUUGAACAGGAUGUAGAAGUAGGUGGACAGACAGAGACUUACCAUGUCUUUUAUAACAUAGUCCAGAGAAGGAACAUAACCGUGCAGACCAUCACUCCCACCAUGACCUGUUAUGCAGAAGCUCAAGUUAGCCUGUUGAUGUUGAAACGAAUGCAAAAUUCAGUAGGCAUGCUCACACCUCACAGGAACAAAGAGACUGAAAACCAUGGAUAAUUUUCUCGAAGCACUGCUAGAUUCAUGGGAAUGAGUUGCAAGGUAAGAAUCCACAACUAUGCGGGUACAGCAUGACAACCUUAGCAUCGUUGCUUAUAUUUUACUACCUCCUAUAAAAAAAACUACUAUCUGGUUCUAAAUGUUUGUCAUAAUAUUACCAAUACCAGAUAGCUAGCUAACACCUAGUUAGCUUGAUACCUACAUGAUCCACACACACACACAAAAACAAAAAAAAAAAAAAAAAACUAAGCACUCCCUCCGAUCCAUAUUAAAUGUCGCUGAUUUAGCACUGAUCUUCCACCAAACCAACCAUGUGUAACAUUUCCUAUAAUAUAGCAGAAGAAGACAUGUUCAGAAAACCACAAGUAGGUUUCCUUACCAAUCCAGUCCAUUGCAUAUACUCCAAAGCCACAUGACGUUAGCUGCUCGGCAAAAUGCAAAUACCUCCCACUGAAAAGCAAGAUCAAGAUGCAUUUAGUAAUGCCUCUAAUACAGGGAGGAUAUGAAAAAUAUAGGUGUGUCCACCAACAUGCUGGGGCCUGGAGGACUGGAGGGGACUGACUCAACAUGAUUUCCUUACCUAUGUUCAUUGAGCCCAUGUACGAUGAGCAGAAUGGCCCUGAAGCAAAAGAGGAAGAUAGUCAAUACAAAAUUGUGUCACUGCAAGUGAAAGAGAGGUUCAGCUUGAUGCUUCAAACUUCUCGUUUCUUAUGAAAGAGACUGAACAGAACCAUAAUCUUCAGAAGGUGUUCACACAUGUAGAUCCAUAAAACCAGUCAGCAAAAUUAGGGGUGGAGGAUCACCUAAAUUAGUUGUGAUUAUGUCAUUUUUCAACAUUUGUUUGCUGGGUUGUUUGACUAUUAUGCCAUUCAUAUUGAAAACAGAGUUGACGGUCAGCUCAGGCAACUACACACCGGGUCAUGUCAAGAAUAAUCAACACUUUGGUUGCACAAAGUGGGCGCAUUAAAGAAUUAAGAAAAAUCCCUCUGCCCCUUUCUUGAUAGCUAAGUUUUCCCGUGUCACAUGGAGACAUUACGUUAAGGUUUUUAUGGAGUAUUGAGAGAUAAGAAUGGAACAGAAGUUGGAGAUAAGUAUCAGCUUAUAUUCCUAAUCCGUUCCACUUUACUUGUUCCCCCUUUCCUGUAUUUCAAUGUUGCUUCACACCGUCCCAAAAAAAUUGCACAAAGCUAUCGUUAUUUUAGUCAACUAGCCCAGGUUCCGAAGGAGAGACGCGUACAAGAAAUAUGACAACCUAAAACAGCAGCUCUGCGAUGAGGACAAACUGCAUGCAUCAUCGUUGACAGGGGUAGGUAAUGAGUACGAAUGCAAAGAUAGGUGAAGAUCUGAAUUACAACGUGCAUCGCACGGCACGUCUCUUUAUGAGUAGAGCAGCAGACACAGCCUUCUGUAAAACACUAGGUCCAGGUAUCUAGUAAAGCACUCUAAUCGCGUGAUCAAAACCGCAGCUAGUAUGCAUGAUCUAAAUGCUCAACGUGCCUUGCCAUUACUACACUAGGAUCACCUAAACAGGAGCAGAAAAUUGCAACUUUAACUGAAAUUACCACCCGUUGGCAUCAGAGAAGAGUACCAAAGACGCAAGAGAACUAUUCACCACGCACAAUUCGCAAAUAAACAUAAUUUCUAAGGGAUCAAAGACCAAAAGAAAUCAUUUUAUAUUUUUGAGGGGAGGAAAUCCUUGUAAUAUUGUCAACAAAAUGCCCAGAAUUCUCCCAAAAAAACCUACGUGAUUGACUGAUUCAAAAAUCCCUUCAGGGUGAGGUCAAGUCCACGAACUACCGUUCCCCCACCGCUCCACCGUUAUGAUAUAGUACAGCCAAAGAAAAAAGUGGCGAGUAAAAGACCACGAACCACGAAAGCGAAAUCCACAGAAACGAACAAAAGGAAACCACCAAUUUCCACAGCGACCGAAACCCCCACGGUCCACGGAAGGCAAUUCAAUCGCACACGCCACGGGUCGGGCGGACGGGGCUCACCUCGUCUCCGUGCCGACCGCCGGCGCCCAGACGCGGCAGAAGAGCGCGUUCCGCCUGGCCCCGGCGAUGACGAACGUGCCGCACGUCCUCCCGUCCGCGUCCGAGUCGUCCUCCGCCAUGGGCACCUCCUCCGCGAGCGCCCGGCGGCGGCGCACGUCCUCCUCCUCCGCGGCCCUGCGCCUGCUCCUGGCCUUCCCGGGGCGGCCGGGCUCCGCCGGGCUGGCGGCGUCGGGGCGGCGGCGGCGGCCGACGAGGAGGAGGAGCCAGAGGAAAAGCGAGUGGAGCGCGACGGCGAGGCGGAGCAGCGCGCGGCGGGACAGCACGGAGCGGAAGACGGGCACGAUCCGGCCCGUGGCGCCCGAAGUCAUCAUCAUCUCGUCGCCGCCCAUCUCCAUGGCUCUCCCCCCCCUGCCGCUGCGCGUUUUUCGUGCUUUACUUUUUCUUCGCGUUUUACGCGGUCGCGGGCUUCGUGGGCCGCCCCCGCGUAUUUAUAGGGGAUGGACAUUUAGACUCUGGCGAGAGCGUGGCCUGCUGUUUCCUUCCUGGAAAUCCGUAUCCUCAAGUUGUUUUUUAUUCAUUUCCUGUUAAUACUAAUAAAUUUAUUUAAGAAGAGGAGUGAGGAGAUGGUGGUCCCAUUAACAGUUGCAACGGAUGAACAGUCCAGCUAACAGCUGUGCCAUGCCACGGUCCCACAUGUCACCCCUCUCACCCGAUUAGUGCAACAUUUAAACACCACAUAAUAUAGAGUAUACGAUCAGUUCGAUAUAUAUGGCACUAAAGGGAUACAGGUACUACAGUAGUAGAUUGCCUUCCCAACCAGUGUACAUACAUUCAUUAUUGACAAUAAAUUAUCGGUAUAGCUAUCCGGCAAACUCGCUGGGGUGAGAUCCCACCGAACACCCCUAGAGCCAACCGAUUUGGAUUGCAUGGUGGUAAUUUUCAUCAAAUAUCCAUGUAAAUUAAACAAAAUGACAUGGCAGUUUUCUAAAAUGUCACCCCACCACAUAAACUGCCACCAUUAAUUUUUCGCAUAUGCUAUCCCGACGUACGACAAACAACUAUCUUUACCUAUUACUAGUACAAAUGUCCGUCCGUUGCAACGGGUAAUAAAUUGCAAUACCUGCUACGCGUGCCCAGUGACGAAUCUUGGAAGAAAAUGAAGGGGACUCAAAGUUAAAUAUGCAUAUAGGAAGUCAAAAUCUCUCAAUUCUUUGGUCCAAAUAAGAUCAAAUGUUUUAUAGAAUAAUAGUAUUUUUUCUUUACUAUUUUUUGGAGGGGUCUCGAGCUUAUCGAAACCGUGCUAGAUUCGCCACUCCACGUGCCAUUACUCACCAUUUCUUACACCCAUUGUCAUAAAUGUGGUCAUAAGUUUAAAUUGAUUAUCACUUUUUGAAGCAUGAAUUGUGGAGAUGAAGAUAUCACCCUGAUAUCCUUCGUUUGAUGGAAGAGUAGUAGUACAUGGAUUAGUAUGAUUAAUCACUUGUCUUUGGAAAAACCUGUGUUGCAACUUGUGAAAACAAAUAUAUCAGAUGUUCCUUCCCACAGUAAGCAUGACUCGAGACCUCCACAAGCCCAUACAAUUUAAAAACACAUCCAUUUGUAUUUCCACUUAUUAUUGUCCUAGCCAUCCAUGACUUGCAGGCGUUCCGCACGGCUAAGCUUAGCCGCUCGAUCGACCUUGUCGGAGUGUGCACCUCGUUUGCCAGUCGACCCCGCCAGCGUAUUAUCCCUACGAGCUCUUUCUCAAACCUCCUUCAAAACAAUCACACCAGUUGGUUUAGUGCCCUUUCAAAUCAUCCUUUCUUGUUGAAAAAAAUGUGGACCAGUCUAGUUCAGCCCAUCCAGGAGUUAGGGGACAGAGCGACAACGGACCAAAACAGAUGAAAUUACGGAAGCAAGAAGUGCGUUGCACCAGGCGUAAAAGAGACACAACAUGCUUCAUGUGCCAUUAUGCACCAUUUUUAAUCCAACUUUGAUAAUCAUUAAUAAUAAGGUGAAAUUACUCAAGCAGCAACCUUGGAUCCGUCCUCACGCAAAUCAACAACCUCCAGGGGCCGGAGCCCAGCCAGACAUAGUUCUCCUUUCAGUUUUGGCACAACUUGCUAAACAAAUCACUAACUACAUUUUAACCAUGGUUGAUAUGAGUAAUAAGGGUCAUACAAAGAUACUUCAAAUGCUUGAUCUCCGCCACCAAAGAAGCAUACACAUACAUGUUUGUGUCCCUCCCAUUCAGAAUAUUCACCGCUGAAAAUGAGUAAAUCUCGAUGCAAGCUGGUACUUUCAUUUGUUAUAUAGCAAUAGAUAACUCCUUCAAGUUCGGACGUGAAGAAGCCAACAUACCAUUCUUCAUCCGAUGGAAGAGUAGUUUUGCAUAGAACAAUCGUUUUUCUUUUGUUUUUCUGAAAACACACAUAAUUCCUUAUUUUUAGUAAACUUAUCAUUUUCAUAAAAACUGGAACGCAUUAGCUUCCACCCACUCAUAUGAUGCAUGCAUCCGGAAUAUAUAUUUCUUCUUAUUCCAUACAUGAUACAUAAUAAUGUUACCAAGAUAGCUUGUCAGGCAACACUGAUACAUUGACACGACAAAAAAGAUAACUAUAUUCAUACCUUGUGAGUUAUAUUCUAAGUAGAAUAUAGAUGACGAAGAACCAAAGCUUCUAUGCAUACUCCUGACAAAAAGAAGAAAUAACAGUCAGCUUUAUGUAAAAAUCAAUUAUGUUGCAGUAAUAGAAAUAUAAGUUACGAAAGGCUGACCAGUUAUUCCUACCCACUAAACAAAUAUGUAGCACUAUCAACCAUAAGCAUUGCAUUAUUGCAUACGACUAAACUUGACAUAUAUAUAACACCGUGCGUCCAAACCUAUUUCAGCAAAAGAAAGAACAAUUCUUUUAGUUUGACUUGAUUUUUAUUAACAAGUAAAAUUGUUGGCAGUGUAGGAUGCCGAAUUUACAUGGACCAUAUCAACCACAAUAAGCUGAUGUUUGCUAUCAGUAUAAAUUUGACUUUCCCAUGUCUGGAUUGCAAGAAUUUUCACGAGCUUACCUGAGUACAAUGUCGCUGGUCCAUCUUCUUGGUAGAAACCAGAUGUGGUCUUGUUGCUGGAGUUUCACUCCGCACUGGGACAUUCCACUAUUGGACGCUCUCGCCGGAUUGGCACAACGACUUGUCUGGCCUCAUGACGAUAUCACUUGUCGUCGAGCCUGGAGCAUUAUACCAUGCUUAUAUCAAGACCCCCAAAACUAAGAUAAGAUACAUAGAAAUCUUAAGAGUAUGUGUCAAAACGACCUGACCAUGAAUUUCAAAAUAUGUUCCGAGGGAAAGUUAGAUAAGAAAAAUGCAGUAUUGUGUUAAUUACUUCCUUGCAUCAAUUGAAAUUGCUAACUCCUGCAGCUAAUUUCACAAAGGAAAGAAGAUGGCAAAAUAAUACAAAGUUUUCAUCCUAUAACCAUAAGUUAACUUGAAACCUGCUACUACCUUAAAAUUGUGGCUGGAGUAAUAUAGAAGCUAGCGUGGACGGACCAAUAUGUAGCAUAACUGCAGAAAAGAAAAAAAAUCUAAGGAGUAAGGACAAAUUAAGAGUGCUGGAUCUGGAGGCCUAUAUCAUAAGAUUUCAGUAGAGACAAAUUAAGAUCUUUAUAGAGAAAAUAACACACCUCUGAAAAAAAAGGAAGGACCAAACUAUGUCAAUGACGUACAUUACUAACCAUGCCCGUACGUUGCAACGGGAGAAACAAACUCUCUCAUCUCUUUCGGGGAAAACAAACGAUACUCUGCUCAACUAAAGCUUACAAUUUCCCAUCAUAAUGAGGCAUAAUUUCCAUCUUGUUUUAGCUUACAAUUUCUUCUCAUAUUAAGGCAUAAUUUUCCAUCUUGUUUUAUUCACAUACACAUGGGUCUGUUUUCGACCGAGCUCUGUUUUACAAUAUAAAUUUUCAUCCUCCCAUUCUCGGCCUAAUCAUCACCCCUUGCUCUACACAACAUUUCUUGAAGAGAAUACAAACACUAUUUUUUCUUCCACCAAUACUUAAAGGAUGCAAGGAAUGUUUUUGUUGUUAAUGUACAUGUGCAUGUGUUUAUGCGGUAAUAAUAUAUGACAAACGACGACACGUGCAUAAUCUAGAAGAUAAUCAUGCUAGCAUAUUCAUGAGAUAGGGAAGACAACAUAUAAAAUCUGAACCUGAAUCAUUGUACUAUUUAGGCUUUUCUUUUCUUUUUAUACAACGUCUUCUGUUCCACAUAUUCCUCUGGAUUUUUCACUUAAACAACUUCGAACACUACUUAACACAUGUUUUCACAUGCUAAAUGCAUUCAGGGCCACAUACAUCGUAACCUACAUUCAACCCAGAAAUUAUGAAAUUUAGUCAAACAUUUACCAAAUUAUUUAGACACUUCUAUCCAACCUAAGAUCAGGCCAAGUCAUGCACGCAUAGGAUAUCAGACGCAUGUGCCUGAAUAUUUGAUCAAGGCUGUUGCAACUCCUCUAGAAAAUAUCCAUGAGGACUGAGACAAAUCUCUAUCUGUACGUAGUAGUUUGCAAGGAGCAUAUACAUACUAUUUUUUGAAAUGCAGCAUAUACAACUGAUACUACUUUAACUGAAAAUAAACCUAUCGUUGUCUGCUCUCCAAUUUCAGAGUAGCAUGGUUUAAUUCAUUCAUGACCUCUGCAUUUUAUUCAGACAGCAGCAUGCACCAAGAUACCUACUUAGAAAGCAAAAUCUUCUCUUUCACAGGGCUAGUGUUUCAUCUAGCUUUAGCGUAUCCUCUCUUUCUCCCUUUGGAUAAGUAGUAUAGUUGAUAACAUACAGACUUAAGAAGUAAAUAGUUGAUGACAGAUGCAAAUCAAUGACAUUGUAGUGUAUGUACCUCAGGUCAGAUCAAGUUUUGGCGGAAAGUGGAAUAUGUGAAGACAGAUUUCCAUUGAAGUCGACGGUAUACAGCCAUGUCUGUGUCAGAAACUUGGCAUGAGGAUGAGCCAUAUAACUGUAGAUUCUCCAGGAGAGUUAGAACACAAAAAACUAUUUGACCUUGCAAUAGAAUUGAAAGGGUUAGGUGAUGUGCGUAUCUCUCUCUGUUGUCUCUACCUCUCUGCUCUCUGUCUUCCUCACAUAUCUCCUUUUUCUCCAGAAGACCAGAACAACAGAUGCAACAAUCAAUGUCUCAAUCGGCCACCGAUCUAGUGCUGGACCGCUUCUCCUCUCUCUGUCCAGGAAGUGGUACACCACAAUGGAACUCAACCACCGAUCUCGUGCUGGAUCCUGCCGACCAUGUCCAGCCUCACAAUAGAUCUAGCAUCUCCCGCACUGGUCAUCCUCACGCUUGCCAUGCGAGAUUCGGAGAGUGGAAGCGGGGGCAGCUGCCAGCGCGAUGAAGCCUCUGGCAGCACACUCGUAGGAUCUGGCGCAGUCGUGAGGCGGGUCGCGAGCCUCCCUCCUACCAGGGCCCCUCCUGCUAUUGGGAAACUCGAAGAGGAAUGGAGAGUGGAGGCGCCGACAGUAGGACGAUGGGUGCCUAAGGGGGUGGGAGGGUAGUCUGGGGGUGGAGGAGAGGUCGAGAGGGCCGGAGGCGGAGGGGAGAGCCAUAGCCCGAGGGCUGGGGAGGGAGAGGCCGGUAGAUCUGGCAUCAUACCUCGCCUGCUCGCGACCGAAGCACUGUAACGACAAUAGAGAGGAGAACGCACCAUACCUCGCCUCCUCGCGACCCAAGCGCCGCCGGCCUCAGCUCCCGUCUUGAUCGAUUCCCUCGUCCUCCUCCUUCCUUCAUGCGCCAAACCAGGACGGGAGCGUUGCGCCCCAACCAUGGCGCCGCCCCGGAGAACCACGAUGCCUUGCAAGGUCCCAUCGUAGCUCGCCUGGAUUCGGAUGCGACAGCCGUUCCCCACGUCGAGUCCAUGCGCCACCGCCGCCCUAUGCGAGUGUCACUCGAUCAGAUCGAACUAAAGAAGGUAUUGCGGGUUGAAUACGAAUAACAACAGGGGCUUUUCUAUAAAAAGGCCGUGGCGGGUUUUCCGACAGAAGCGAUAGCCUCUUUAUUAUUAGGUAAAGAAUAAAGCACAUAUUGCUUCUGUGGUCCGUCGUCGUACUUUUGCAAAAAAACUCCCUGUGGUUUCUGAUAAUUGAACCCGCGGUCCACACGUAACAGUGAAUCUUGAGAAAAACGCUUCGCGAUGGCCCGACCCCACGCGAGCGAGAGCAAACCCUACCCCGAGCCGUUCCCUCGCCGCCGCCGCCACACCUCAUCCCGCUCGCCGCCUCCGCCGGAUUGGGACACGGACUGCGCGCAUCGAUGGACGACAGAGGCGGCGGUGGGCGAGAGAGGAGGGAGGCCGCCGCUGCACUGCUGCGCCGACUCGGACGCCGACGCCGUGUCGUCCGUGGCCAUGGCCGCCGCCGCGACGACGACACCGCGUUGCCCAUCCUCACGCCGUCGUGGCGCCGGCCGGAGAAGAGGCCGUCAAAGAGGCCCAUCGCGGCGCGUGGCGGCCGGCCGCAUCGCCCGUGACUCCGUCAAGCGCGCGCGCACGUACGCCCGGCCAAGGCGGCAAAGGGGGAUCGCUCGUGCCGUGGCGGGGAUCACUCGUGCCGUGGCGUGCUCAUGCUUCGAGUGCUAAAGCAUAUGCUUUCUGGCCCAAAAGGGUCUUCCGGCAACAGCUCCGAUGGGUCUCAGGAUUUGAUUGUGGCGGUGCGCCUUCCGAGAGGCAUCAAAGGAAUGGAAAAAUUGGAGACACUGUCGCAUGUUGAAGCUCCCGGCAAGGUUAAUGAUUUAACUGAUGUUGGUCAUCUAUUGCAGCUGAGUAAACUGGGUGUGAUUCUUUCGGCUGAGAAAGGUGGCUUGGGUGUUCUAUUCCAACAGAUUGAAAAAUUACACGGUUGCCUGCGCUCCUUGUCAAUCCAGAUGAACAAACCACCCAAAGCAGAGGAUACUCUUCCAUUAGCUUCACCUCCAAAACUUCUUCAGAGCCUGAACAUUAGUGGCAUUAGAAGUGGGCUCCUUUUGUGGAUUGUAGAGCUUGAUCAACUUACCAAGUUAACAUUGAGCGAGACUUACCUGGGGGAAGACUAUAUACACAUCCUUGGCAAGCUUGCAUCUAUGCGUUGCCUCAGGCUUCGGUGCAAUACCUAUGCCGGAAGCGGGCCCACAUUCAAUGAUGGAGAGUUCAAGAGCCUCAAGUCGUUGGUAGUUGAUGACGGUGUCAUAGCUAACAUUACCUUCGAAACUGGGACAGUUCCCAACCUUGAGAGGAUUGUUUGGUACAAAAAUAUUGUUAUAAUUAAAUCAUGUGCUAACAUUUGCUCUAUCUGGUUUAUCCUCGUGAGAUCAAAUUUUAUGAUUUAUCGGUUAUGUUAUCGUGGAUCCUAGAGCAAAAUUUAUCUUAUCCUGUGUAGUUGGUCGCCCACACUGGAUAGUUUAACCAGAUUUUCUGAUUGUCUGUCUUGAGUGGAUGUGUACAGGAACCUGCAGGAAAACUUCAAUCGGAGCAAGAGUCGCACCACGGAGAUCUUCUUCCUGUGUAGCUUGACAACUUCAGUAAGACUAGAAUCGAUGUGGUUGCCUUGAGUAAGCAUGCUUAUGUACACGGUAAGAGGCAGUAUGUUUGUCAGGAGCCCGGGUGUGGGAAAGGUAUAUCCGACAAAAAGGGGAUAGAUUUAACAUUACACCUUUACUCGUACAUUAAUGUUAGUGAACUUUCUUGUUUACUAGCAUUGACAGAUUUUUCAGUAAUUUUAGACUCAUACCUGAAAUGUUCAUAAAAGCUUUUUUCUCUAUCUUUUUAUUUACGAGGACCUUUCUCUUUUUGCAUAUUAUUAGCGGAUUUAAGGCCCAAUGAUGUGAAUACAUAUAAUACCUUUGGUUAUGUGUCAGGAAAGAUUCAGUUAAAUGAUCAAUUCACUAAUUAAUCAAUCAGUAAAGACUCAGUUGUUUAAUCCUACUAGAGAGAUACUCCAUGCAUUCAAUCAAUUGUUAGUGUUAAUGGAUUGAUCCAGUACAUUCAUUCAUUCAAAUAAUUUAGUCCUACCUGAGAAAUUUAAGAUCACAUAUGUAUCGAAGUCUUGAUCUUUUUUUCUCGUCCAUGUGCAAAUGCUGCUGAGGAAUAAACAAUGAUCAUGUUUAACCGGAUUAGAUGUAUUUUUGGUCUUCACCUAAGCUCCAGGGGUGUGCCAACAAUCAUUACAGGUUGGUCGACAUGAGUCAGGGACCUGACAUGUUUGAGAAGAUGCAAUCCGAUGGCCGCAGGUGUGAUGUCUUCUUCGACCUAAUUUGUUAUGUGAACGGUGAGGAAUUCUCUGUUCUGUGUUCGUUGGACUUCCAUUUGCUUAAAGUUUUUUUUAUUUAGCUAUUCCGUGCUUGCUGAAAUUCUCAUAUGAUGUGACCUGGUAUUAUUGUUGGAAAUAUGCCCUAGAGGCAAUAAUAAAUUAGUUAUUAUUAUAUUUCUUAGUUCAUGAUAAUCGUUUAUUAUCCAUGCUAUAAUUGUAUUGAUUGGAAACACAAUACUUAUGUGGAUACAUAGACAAAACACUGUCCCUGGUAAGCCUCUAGUUGACUAGCUCGUUGAUCAAAGAUGGUCAAGGUUUCCUGGCCAUAGGCAAGUGUUGUCACUUGAUAACGGGAUCACAUCAUUAGGAGAAUCAUGUGAUGGACUAGACCCAAACUAAUAGACGUAGCAUGUUGAUCGUGUCAUUUUGUUGCUACUGUUUUCUGCGUGUCAAGUAUUUGUUCCUAUGACCAUGAGAUCAUAUAACUCACGGACACCGGAUGAAUGCUUUGUGUGUAUCAAACGUCGCAACGUAACUGGGUGACUAUAAAUAUGCUCUAUAGGUAUCUCCGAAGGUGUUCGUUGAGUUAGUAUGGAUCAAUACUGGGAUUUGUCACUCCGUAUGACGGAGAGGUAUCUCAGGGCCCACUCGGUAAUACAACAUCACACACAAGCCUUGCAAGCAAUGUGACUUAGUGUAAGUUGCGGGAUCUUGUAUUACGGAACGAGUAAAGAGACUUGCCGGUAAACGAGAUUGAAAUAGGUAUGCGGAUACUGACGAUCGAAUCUCGGGCAAGUAACAUACCGAAGGACAAAGGGAAUGACAUACGGGAUUAUAUGAAUCCUUGGUACUGAGGUUCAAACGAUAAGAUCUUCGUAGAAUAUGUAGGAUCCAAUAUGGGCAUCCAGGUCCCGCUAUUGGAUAUUGACCGAGGAGUCUCUCGGGUCAUGUCUACAUAGUUCUCGAACCCGCAGGGUCUGCACACUUAAGGUUCGACGUUGUUUUAUGCGUAUUUGAGUUAUAUGGUUGGUUGUCGAAUGUUGUUCGGAGUCCUGGAUGAGAUCACGGACGCCACGAGGGUUUCCGGAAUGGUCCGGAAACGAAGAUUGAUAUAUAGGAUGACCUCAUUUGAUUACCGGAAGGUUUUCGGAGUUACCGGGAAUGUACCGGGAAUGACGAAUGGGUUCCGGGAGUUCACCGGGGGGGGGGGGCAACCCACCCCGGAGAAGCCCAUAGGCCUUGAGGGUGGCACACCAGCCUUUAGUGGGAUGGUGGGACAACCCAAAAGGGCUCUAUGCGCCAAGCAAAGGAAAAUCAAGAGGAAAGAAAAAAAGGAGGAGGUGGGAAGGAAGGGGGACUCCCUCCCACCAAACCAAGUCCAACUCGGUUUGGGGGGGGAGUCCUCCCCCCUUGGACUCGGCCGACCCCCUUGGGGCUCCUUGAGCCCCAAGGCAAGGUCCCCUCCCUCCCACCUAUAUAUACAGAGGUUUUAGGGCUGAUUUGAGACAACUUUUCCACGGCAGCCCGACCACAUACCUCCACGGUUUUUCCUCUAGAUCGCGUUUCUGCGGAGCUCGGGCGGAGCCCUGCUGAGACAAGGUCAUCACCAACCUCCGGAGCACCGUCAUGCUGCCGGAGAACUCUUCUACCUCUCCGUCUCUCUUGCUGGAUCAAGAAGGCCGAGAUCAUCAUCGAGCUGUACGUGUGCUGAACGCGGAGGUGCCGUCCGUUCGGUACUAGAUCGUGGGACUGAUCGCGGGAUUGUUCGCGGGGCGGAUCGAGGGACGUGAGGACGUUCCACUACAUCAACCGCGUUCACUAACGCUUCUGCUGUACGAUCUACAAGGGUACGUAGAUCACUCAUCCCCUCUCGUAGAUGGACAUCAUCAUGAUAGAUCUUCGUGCGCGUAGGAAAUUUUUUGUUUCCCAUGCGACGUUCCCCGACAAUUAUAUGUGCACAGGCUUUGUUUACAACAUCCUUUAGACUGGUUUUGACUGAUAGAAUUGGGUGAAAGCAGAAUUGCUAUUUGUUAGCUAUGACCUAUGAGUCUGAAAUCUGAAGGCAUAUGCUCUUAUAAUUUGAUACGGAGGGUGUUGUUUCGAUCGUAAGUAAUGGAUCAUAUAUUAUGGUAGGCAACCCAGGUUGAAACCUUAAUAAGGGCACUAAGAUGUAAGAACAUCCUGCAAGUGUUAUGAGUAUAUGUUUCAGUUGCAUAUAGCCUGUUGUUUUGUCUGAAGUAAGCUGUUCUCAAUGGGGUGUGAGAAGUGAAAACACGGAUAUUCUGUGUGAAAGGAAGAGUUUUGGGUAUACCAAUGUGCUCAGAACUUGGUAUUCAUAUGAGAAUCUUCUUUCUGCUGUGCUAUCUGUUUGCUGCAAAUGACAUCAAACCGCACAUCUAAUAUGCGUCAUGGUUACAGGUACACAAGAUCUCAGUCAUGCCCUUCCUGCCGCGGAAGCCUGAAGAGAGUCCAGUCCAGGGACCUGUGGGUGCUCACGGGCGACGACGACGUGAUCGACCCUGUGACCCUGGAGAAGGAGAAUGUGAGGCACUUCCACAGCUUCAUCGACAACCUGCCCCUCAUCGUCCCCGACAACCUUCUGCUGGUCUACUAUGACUACCUGCAUCUGAUAGAAAUUUGCAUUUUUAACUUUAACAUAGAUGUUUAGUAAAAUCAGAUAUAAAAACUGGUGCACAAUGACAUAUGAAUCGGUUAUGCUUUUUUUUACCCGGUGCAACGCACGGGCAUUUGUGCUAGUUGGGGUCCUAAAUUAUUACUAGUACUAGUAUAAAAGAAAAUUUUACUCCACCAAACAACUACCCCCUCCGUUCCUAAAUAUAAGUCUUUUAAGAGAUUUCACUAAGUGACUACAUAUGAAGCAAAAUGAGUUAAUCUAUAAUUUAAAGUAUGUCUAUAUACAUCCGUAUUUAGUUCCUUAUUAAAAACUACUAAAAAGACAUAUAUUUAGGAACGGAGGGAGUAGUAAGUAAUUCUACACAAAAUAUUGGCAUGAUUAUAGUUAUAUGUAUUUUUGUGUGAUUUCCCUUGAAGAUACAGAUCAACAUAUCAUUUGUUGUGCUCCUUAUUCUUGCAAAUGCGGAUGACAACACGCGCGCGCACACACACAAACAUAUGUGCAAACGCACGCGCGCGCACACACACACACACCUCCUCUGCCUAUGGGAUGUCAACAGAGAUCUCUCGGGUUGGUCAAGCAAAGGUUCCUUCGAAAUUACUACAUGGAACAUAUCAGCCAACUAGUUACUAGUCCAAAUAGAUCCUCGAGGGAGGUUCAUGAAACAUUGGAGGGUUGUUCCCGUUAGAAUGGUGAUGAGGUGUUUUCGUCACCUCCUGUGUGCCUCCCUCCACGUAUUGAUCGUAGUGGUUCAGAUGGCUAUGAACACCUCGAGGUCGGUAUUACCAGCAUACCUUUUGAUGGGGUGAGGUCAGAAAUUUUAAGGCCACAUGGUGUAUAUGAGUUCUUAAGAUAAGCAGGACACCCAAACAAUCGCAUGCGAGCCUCGUCGCCAUCAAACUUAUAUCGCCUCAUAUAGCUCUCCGACGCGUCUAAGGUGCAUUGUGAAUCAUGAUGAUUUUAUCCUUCUCAUUAAUUCCAUCUUUGACUGAUGAAGUCGCAUUUAUCAUCAUCGUUUUCAUCCAAUGAGGCAAACACAAAAAUUGAGUGCAAAAAAUAUCUCCUCCCACCCCCAAGACACGAUCAACUUUGACCCAAUCAUAGAGGAUUUCAUAGAUAUUCCAUAUUCAGAUAUUCUUAAGUUCCAAUAGAAAUCCUGUUGGGCCCUCAAGCAUAAAGGUUUGCAUAUAGGCAUUAUCCAACAUUCAUCUAUAGCUAAUACUCCACCCAAAGUCACCUAUAAUCACAUAUAUCUAAGUAUUGACUAAUAAAAUGGAAUAUAUCAUUAGGCAAGUUGGCAUAAUGUUGAUGGUAAUGUAUUCUUUUUACCUCUAGUUCACGACCUACGUAAUUACACCCUCCCUUCCGGUUUAGAGGGCUCAAAUCUGGAAUCUCAUCAACCAAGAUAGAUUGUGAGUGGAUGGCACAAGUUUUGUGAGUACAAGAAUGCCCAAUAUAAAUUAUUUCCACAUGUUCAACUCCCAAAGCAACAAGUGCAUCACCCACCUCUAAGAGCAAGUACAAUAGAGUUCAGUCAGCUGGCUAUAAGAAAUAAAGUAGUAUAUUUUUGCUUAGUUGGAGGAAAGAGAAGAGGAGAGAGAAGGUAAGCGGGCUCUUAGUUAAGAGUCAGCUCUAACACAUGCUCGUAGGUACUUUUGUGAGAGUGAAAGGCGGGCCAUAUAAUAAAAAAGUAGUACACUCUUCUAAUCUACUAUUGUAAAUGUUGACUAUAAGAUGGGAUAUAGAUGACGUGGCAAUGACUUAUAGCCAACACCUCGCUAUACUACUAACCAUGCUCUAAUUGGACUUGCAAGGUGCAUGCAAAAUAAGAUGCAUGCAUGACCACUAUUCCCUCUCUCUCAUCUCUAUGAAUUCAAUGUGGCAUGGACUCAAAGCACUUUAAUUCAAUUGGACUCAAACUAAGCCUAGUAUAAUGGAAAUCUAAAAGAAUUUAGAUAAGGAGGGAGUAUCUUUUUAUCUCGCAAUAACCAAAAAGGAGGGGGUAUCUUUUUAUCUCGCAAUAACACACUACAAGCAUUUUUAUCCGUUUAUCUUUGAGAUAAAAUGCUUGCGCAAUUAAACCCAAUAAACAUGCAAAAUAUAGAACAUCUCUUCAUGGAUGGUGAUUGAGAUGGGGGUUGUUGUUGCAGAUUGAGUGGGCGGAGAUGACCCUAAUGAUGCAUUGGUGUUGAAUGGAUUCGUAUUCCCACAAUUGGAUGUGGUGGAUCUAGUGGGGCCAGCCCUCCAGAAAAAGAGUAUUCUCUAUUCCUCCCAAAUACGGAAAAAUACAUAAUAUUUCGUGUGCGAAUUAGAUGUUAGGGAAGACGAUAUGUAGCAGAGAGAAGGUCAAGGAAUCCAAGUAGGACCCACACAUGAAGAUUGCAUACCCCGGACCUCUCAAUGCUAACCUUGAACCUGAUGCACGGGCUUUGUUAAUCUUGAUCCUGAUGCACGAGCGCUUUCCAUGUUGAUCCUUAUGCACAUGGUGGACUCCCUAUUAAUUUUAUUAAAUUGCCAUGGAUACAUGUGUUGGUAGUGUUGGAAAUAUGCCCUAGAGGAAUAAUGAAUUAGUUAUUAUUAUGUUUCCUUGUUCAUGAUAAUCAUUUAUUAUCCAUGCUAUAAUUGUAUUGAUUGGAAUUCAAAUACAUGUGUGGGUAUAUAGACAAAACACUAUCCCUAAUGAGCCUCUAAGGACUAGCACGUUGAUCAAAGAUGGUCAAGGUUUCCUGGCCAUAGACAUGAGUGGUCAUUUGAUAACGGGGUCACAUCAUUAGGAGAAUGAUGUGAUGGACAAGACUCAAACUAUGAACGUAGCAUGUGAUCAUGUCAUUUUAUUGCUACUGUUUUUCUGCAUGUCAAGUAUAUGUUCCUAUGACCAUGCGAUCAUGUAACUCACUGACACCGGAGGAAUACCUUGUGUGUAUCAAACGUCGUAACGUAACUGGGUGACUAUAAAGGUGCUCUACACGUAUCUCCAAAGGUGUUCAUUGAGUUAGCAUGGAUCAAGACUGGGAUUUGUCACUCCAUAUGACGGAGAGGUAUCUCGGGGCCCACUCGGUAAUACAACAUCACAACAAGCCUUGCAAGCAAUAUGAUUAAAGAGUUAGACAUGGUUUUUUUUAUUAUGAAAUGAGUAAAGAGACUUGCAGGUAACGAUAUUCAAAUAGUAUAGAUAUACCGACGAUCGAAUCUCGGGUAAGUAACAUACCGAAGGACAAAGGGAAUACGGGAUUAACUGAAUCCUUGACAUAGAGGUUCAACCGAUAAAGAUCUUCGUGGAAUAUGUAGGAGCCAAUAUGGACAUCCAGGUCCCACUAUUGGUUAUUGGUCAGAGAAUGUCUCGAUCAUGUCUACAUAGUUCUCGAACCCGUAGGGUCCGCACACUUAAGGUUCAGUGACGUUUCGGUAUUAUUGAGUUAUGAAUGUUGGUGACCGAAAGUUGUUCGGUGUUUGAGAUGAGAUCCCGGACAUCACGAGACCUCCGGAAUGAUCCGGAGGUAAAGAGUGAUAUAUAGGAAAGUUGCAUUUGGCUUCCGGAAAGAUUUCGGGCAUUACCGGUAAAGUACCGGGAGUGACGAAUGGGUUCCGUGGUUUCACUGCGACGGGCCACCCACCCGGGAGGAGACCGAGUAGGCCUAAAGGUGGCGCACCAACACCUAGUGGGCUGAUGUGGCCAUCCCAAUAAAACCUAUUUCGGCCAAGUGUACAAGUAAAAAGGAAAAAGGAAAAAAAGGGAGGAGGAGACCAACUAGGAAGGGAGUCCUCCACCAAACCGAAUUGGGGGAGGACUCUCCUCCCUAGCUCGGUCGAACCUCUCCUCCUUGAGGAGGAGGCAAUGUAGCCCUCCCACCUCUUCCUCCUAUAUAUAGUGGAGGUUUUGAGGGCAACACACACCUGAAAAUCCACGUGCUGCCUGAUACGUCCAUUUUGCAUCAUGCUUUCAUGUUGAUAUUUAUCGCUUUAUGGACUGUUAUUAUACUUUGUGGUACCAUACUUAUGCCUUUUCUCUCUUAUUUUGCAAGGUUUAUUUGAAGAGGGAGAAUACCGGCAGCUGGAAUUCUAGACUGGAAAAGGAGCAAGUCUGAGUCCUCUAUUCUGCGCAACUCCAAAUGCCCUGAAAAUCAACGUGGAUUUUUUUGGGAAUAUAUAAAAAAUACUGGGCGAAAGAACUGUCAGAGGGGAGCAGCCAGGGGCCCACAAGCCUGGUUGCCGCGGCCUACCCCCCUGGCCGUGGCAACAGGGCUUGUGGGCACCUUGGUGGCCCACUGGCCCCCCUCUUUUGCUAUAUGAAGGGUUUCGUCCGAGAAAAAAUCAGGGUGGAGCUUUUUCUUGGAUUCGCCGCCGCCACGAGGCGGAACUUGAGCAAAACCAAUCUAGAGCUCCGGCAGGACGAUCCUGCCGGGGAAACUUCCCUCCCGGAGGGGGAAAUCAUCGCCAUCGUCAUCACCAACACUCCUCUCGUCGGAGGGGAGUCAUCUCCAUCAACAUCUUCAUCAACACCAUCUCCUCUCCAAACCCUAGUUCAUACCAAUCUCCGUCUCGCGACUCUGAUUGGUACUUGUAAGGUUGCUAGUAGUGUUGAUUACUCUUUGUAGUUGAUGCUAGUUGGAUUACUUGGUGGAAGAGUUUAUAUUCAGAUCCUUGAUGCUACUCAUUACACCUUUGAUCAUGAUUAUGAUUAUGCUUCGUGAGUAGUUACUUUUGUUCCUGAGGACAUGGGAUAAGUCAUGCUGAUAAUAGUCAUGUGAAUUUGGUAUUCGUUCGGUAUUUUGAUAUGUUGUAUGUUGUCUUUUCCUCUAGUGGUGUUAUGUGAACGUCGACUACAUAACACUUCACCAUCUUUGGGCCUAGAGGAAGGCAUUGGGGAGUAGUAAGUAGAUGAUGGGUUGCUAGAGUGACAGAAGCUUAAACCCCAGUCUAUGCGUUGCUUCGUAAGGGGCUGAUUUGGAUCCACUAGUUUAAUGUUAUGGUUAGACGUUGUCUUAAUUCUUCUUUCGUAGUUGCAGAUGCUUACGAGAGGGGUUAAUCAUAAGUGGGAUGCUUGUCCAAGUAAGGGCAGUACCCAAGCACCAGUCCACCCAUAUAUCAAACUAUCAAAGUAACGAACGCGAAUCAUAUGAACAUGAUGAAACGAGCAUGACAGAAAUUCCCGUGUGUCCUCGGGAGCGUUUUCCCUCUUAUAAGACUUUGUUCAGGCUUGUCCCUUGCUACAAAAGGGAUUGGGCCACUUUGCUGCACCGUUGCUACUACUUGUUACUUGUUACCUUUCGCUUGCUACGUUUCACCUCACUACACCAUCACUUGUUACCGCUACUUUCAGUGCUUGCAGUUAUUACCUUGCUGAAAACCGUUUAUCAGAGCCUUCUUCUCCUCGUUGGGUUCGACACUCUUACUUAUCGAAAGGACUACGAUUUAUUCCCUAUACUUGUGGGUCAUCACUGCCCUCUCCUCCAUAGAUUGUCUACUUCAUCUAGAUUAGUCCGGCAUAGCUUGGCGAAGCCGUGCUGGAUUAGUUCACCACCACCACCACCACGCCGUCGUGCUGCCAGAGAACUCAUUUACCUCGCCGUCCCUCUUGCUGGAUCAAGAAGGUGGAGAUCAUCAUUGAGCUGUACGUAUGCUGGACGCGGAGGUGCCGUCCGUUCGGCACUAGAUCGGGAUGGACCGUGAUGGGAUCACGGGACGGAUCGUGAUGAGAUCGUGUGACGGAGUGCGAUUUGGAUCACGAAGAUGUUCGACUACAUCAACCGCGUUAUAUACGCUUCCACUUAGCGAUCUACAAGGUACGUGGAUCCGCACUCCCCCUCUCGUAGAUGGUCAUCACCAUGGAUAGAUCUUAUGUGUGCGUAGGAAAUUUUUUGUUUCCCAUGCAACGUUCCCCUUCAGUCGCAUCAUGAGCUAGGUCUAUGCAUAGAUGACAUCUCGAGUAGAACACAAAUUAGUUUGUGGGUGUUGAUAUUCAGAUUGCUGCCCUCCUUAGUCUUUUCUUGAUUCAGCGGUAUUGUUGGAUGAAGCGGCCCGGACAAACCUUACUUGUACGCUCACGAGAGACCGGUGCCAUCAACUGACAUGCAACUUGUUGCAUAAAGAUGGCUAGCGGUUGUCUGUUUCUCCUACUUUAGUUGAAUCGGAUUUGACAAAGGCGGUCCUUGGAGAAGGUUAAAUAGCAACUUGUGUAUCACCAUUAUGGUUAUGCGUAGGUAAGAAUCGUUCUUGCUAGAUACCCAUAGCAGCCAUGUAAAAGAUGCAACAACAAAUUAGAUGACAUCUAACUUGUUUUUGCAGGGUAUGCAUGUGAUGUGAUAUGGCCAAAGACAUGAUAUGAUAUAUUUGAUGUAUGAGAUGAUCAUGUCGUAAUAGUUAAAUAUCGACUUGCAUGUCGAUGCUACGACAACCGGCAGGAGCCAUAGGGUUGUCUUUAAUUAUUUUGCGCUUGGUGAUGCUUUGCUUUAUCGCUAGUUCAGUAGCUUUAGUAGCAAUAGCAUAGUUAACGCGAAAACCUCGAUGGCAGCACAAUGAUGGAGAUCAUGGUGUGGCGUCGGUGACGAUGGAUAUCAUGCCCGUGAUUUGAAGGUGGAGAUCAAAAAGCACAAGUUCAUGGCCAUAUCAUGUCACUUAUGAUUUGCAUGUGAUGUUAAUCCUUUUUAUGCACCUUGUUUUGCUUAGGACGACGGUAGCAUUAUAAGGUGAUCCCUCACUAAAAUUUCAAGAUAAAAUUGUGUUCUCCCCUAGGUUGCACCGUUGCGUAAGUUUGCCGUUUCGAGACACCACGUGAUGAUCGGCUGUGAUAGACUCUACGUUCACAUACAAUGGAUACAAAACAAUUGCAUACGCGAAACACUGGGGUUAAACUUGACGAGCCUAGCAUGUACAGACAUGGCCUCUGAACACAAGAGACCGAAAGAUCGAACAUGACUCAUAUAGUAGAUAUGAUGAACAUAGAGAUGUUCACCAGUAAAGCUAACUCAACUCAUGUCAUGAUCGGACUUGAGUUAAUGAAUUUGGAUCACGCACCACUCAACUGAGCACAGGGUUGUCAAUUUGGGUGGGAGUUCUUAAGUAAUAUGAUUAAUUGAACUCAUUAUCAUGAACAUAGUCAAAAUGCCUUUGCAAAUUAUGUUGUUGUUGGAAAUAUGCCUAGAGGCAAUAAUAAAUUGGUUAUUAUUAUAUUUCCUUGUUCAUGAUAAUCGUUUAUUAUCCAUGCUAUAAUUGUAUUGAUUGGAAACUCAAAUACAUGUGUGGAUACAUAGACAAAACACUGUCCCUAGUAACCCUCUAGUUGACUAGCUCAUUGAUCAAAGAUGGUUAAGGUUUACUAGCCAUAGACAAGUGUUGUCACUUGAUAACGGGAUCACAUCAUUAGGAGAAUGAUGUGAUGGACAAGGCCCAAACUAUAAACAUAGCAUGAUCGUGUCAGUUUAUUGCUACUAUUUCAUGCAUGUCAAUGUAUUUGUUCCUAUGACCAUGAGAUCAUAUGCAACUCCCAGACACCGGAGUAAUACCUUGUGUAUAUCAAACGUCGCAACGUAACAGGGUGACUAUAAAGGUGCUCUACAGAUAUCUCCGAAGGUGUCUAUUGGGUUGGCGUGAAUCGAGACUGGGAUUUGUCACUCCAUAUGACGGAGAGGUAUCUCGGGGCCCAAUCGGCAAUACAACAUCACAAUAAGUCUUGCAAGCAAUGUGACUAAGAAGUUAGUCACGGGAUCUUGUAUUACGGAAGGAGUAAAGAGACUUGCCGAUAACGAGAUUGAACUAGGUAUAGAGAUACCGACGAUCGAAUCUCGGGCAAGUAACAUACCGAAGGACAAAGGGAACAACAUACGAGAUUAAUUGAAUCCUUGACAUAGAGGUUCAACUGAUAAAGAUCUUCGUAGAAUAUGUAGGAGCCAAUAUGGGCAUCCAGGUCCCGCUAUUGGUUAUUGGCCGUAGAGGUGUCUUGGUCAUGUCUGCAUAGUUCUCGAACCCGUAGGGUGUGCACACUUAAGGUUCGAUGACGUUUUGGUAUAGUUGAGUUAUAUGUGUUAGUAACCGAAAGUUGUUCGGAGUCCCGGAUGAGAUCUCGGACAACAGAGGAGCUCCAGAAUGGUUUGGAGUUAAAGAUUGAUACAUAGUAAGUCCUAUUUUGGUCACCGGAAAAGUUUCAGGCUCAUCGGUAGUGUACCGGGAGUGCCGGGAGGGUACCGGGGACCAUCGAGAGGGAUGUCAUGCCCCGAGGGGCCUUAUGGGCUGUGGGAGGAUACAAACCAACCCCUAGUGGACUGACAUAAGCUCCCACUAAGUCCCAUGAGGUUUGAGAAGGAAAGAAACCCAAAGGUGGAAAAGGUGGAAAGGGUUUCCAAGUGGAGAGGAGGAAUCCUACUCCUACUAGGAUUGGAGUAGGACUCUUCCACCUCCAAUUUCGGCCAAACCUUGAGGGUUUGAGGCUGCCUCCUCCCCUCCCUCCCUCCUAUAUAUACUAGAGGUAUUGAGGGUUUUUGAGACACAUAAAAAACAACCACAUGUUGCCCUCUCUCUCUAGAUCUGUUUCUCCUCUAGUCUAGUUUCAGCGGUGCUUAGGUAAAGCCCUGCUAGAAUAGCUCCACCACCACAACCACCAUGCCGCCGUGCUGGAGAACUCAUCUACCUCUCCGCCCCUCUUUCUGGAUCAAGAAGGUGGGGAUCAUCAUCGAUCUGUACGUGUGCUGAACGCGGAGGUGCCGUCGGUUCGGCACUAGAUUGGGAUGGAUCGUGAUGGGAUCGCGGGAUGGAUCGUGAUGAGAUCGCGGGACGGACUGCGAUUUGGAUAGCGAAGAUGUUCCACUACAUCAACCGCGUUAUAUACGCUUCCGCUUAGCGAUCUACAAGGGUAUGUAGAUUCACUCUCUCCUCUCGUAGAUGACCAUCACCAUGGAUAGGUAUUUGAUACGUCUCCAUCGUAUCUACUUUUCCAAACUCUUUUGCCCUUGUUUAAUUUGGACUCUAAUUUGCAUGAUUUGAAUGGAACUAACCUAGACUGACGCUGUUUUCAGCAGAAUUGCCUUGGUGUUAUUUUUGUGCAGAAAUCAAAGUUCUCCCAACGUCGUGAAAAUUUACGGGGAGCAGUUUUGGAAAAAAAGAAAAAUAUCUGCGCCAAGUUCCACCUGAGGGGGUGGGCCACAAGCCCUGGCUCCGCCACCACCCCCCUGGUGGCGGUGGGCAGGCUUGUGGGGCCCACACGGCUCUGCUGGCCCCAACCUCAGGUCUAUAAGUUCACUUUCGUCCCAGAAAAAUUAAAAAGAGAAGUUUUCGUCGCGUUUGCGAUACGGAGCCGCUGCCACCACCUGUUCUUCAUCUGGAGGGCAGAUCUGGAGUCCGUCUUGGGCUCUGGAGAGGGGAAAUCGUCGCCAUCGUCAUCAUCAAUCUUCUUCCCUCUCCAAUUCCAUGAAGCUCUUCGUCGUUCGUGAGUAAUCUAUUCGUAGGCUCGCUGGGCGGUGAUGAGUAGGAUGAGAUCUAUCAUGUAAUCGAGUUAGUUCUGAUGGUGAUUGAUCCCUAGUAUCCACUAUGUUUUGAGAUUGAUGUUGCUACUACUUUUCCAUGCUUAAUGCUUGUCACUAGGGCCCGAGUGCCAUGAUUUCAUAUCUGAAAUUAUUAUGUUGUCACCAAUAUAUGUGUGUUUUAGAUCCGAUCUUGCAAGUUGUAGCUACCUACUAUGUGUUAUGAUCCGGCAACCCCGGAGUGACAAUAACCGGAACCACUCCCGGUGAUGACCAUAGUUUGAGGAGUUCAUGUGUUCACCAAUUGCUAAUGCGUUGGUCCGGUUCUUUAUUAAAAGGAGAACCUUAAUAUCCCGUAGUUUCCUUUUGGACCCCGCUGCCACGGGAGGGAUGGACAAUAGAUGUCAUGCAAGUUCUUUUCCCUAAGCACGUAUGACGACCCACGGAAUGCAUGCCUGCAUCACAUUGAUGAACGGGAGCUAGACACAUAUCUCUCCGUGUUAUAACUGUUGCAUGAUGAAUAUCAUCCAAACAAAUCACCGACCCAUUGCCUACGAGUUUGUCCUACUGCUGAUGUUACUUGUUUUGCUCUGCUGUUGUUACUACUGUUGCUGCUGCUACUGUUGCUACUACUGUCGCUUGCUACUAUUGGUACUUGCUACUGCUGUCACUACUGUUGUUCCUUGCCACUGCCGUUACUCUCUACUUUGCUGUUACUACUUUGCUUGCAGAUACUAAUCUUUCAGGUGUGGUUGAAUCUGACACAUUCAGCCGCUAAUACUUGAGAGUAUUCUCUCACCUCCUGUUUGGCGAAUCAACAAAUUUGGGUCGAAUACUCUACCCUCGAAAACUGCUGCGAACCCACGCGCUGGUGGGCCGUCAACAACAUUCUGCUAGUUCCAUUACUGGGGAGUGCUAGCAGCAUUCUUCUGGUGCCGUUGCAGGGGAAGCUUUGUUGUCACAGAAUCAGCAUUCGUCUAGCUAUUUCCAGAGAGUGCCAGUCAGCAUUUUUCUGGCGCCGUUGCCGGGGAGGUAUUGCUAUAUUCUGUGAGUCACUUGGGAUUUAUAUCUGCUGAUCACUAUGAAGAAUCUGAAGGAUCCGAAAACCAAAGUCUUGCCCUCAACUACGAGGGGAGGUAAGGAAUUGCCAUCUAGCUCUGCACUUGAUUCACCUUCAGUUAUGAGUAAGUUUGCGACAUCACCUCCUGCUAGAAAUCUUGAUAUGUCGCCUGUGCUUGAUGAUGCUUAUGAUGCUACUGCUAGAGAUGCUAUGCUUGAUACUUCUAGAGAUGCUAAGCUUGAUACUGCUUUGCCUGAUGAUGCUAGAGAUGCUAUUUUGCCUGAUGUUGCUAUGCUUGAUACUGCUAGAGAUACUACUUUGCCUGAUGUUCCACUAGGGGUGUUCCUUGAUGCUCAUAUUGCUAGAGUUACUCCCAAUGCUCGUGAUACUUCUGAAACUACCGAUACUAUUGAGAUAGAACCUGCUUUUGCUCCUGCUAGAUCUAGCUCUCCUAGAUAUGAAUUGCCUGAUAUACCUGAGGGUUACGUUAUGGAGGGAGAGAUAGCUGAGGAUUUUCUUACGUGUAAGGAUGCCUAUGACGCUGAGAAAUUACUUCUCAAGUGGAAGGAAAAAUCUCGGGAAGCUAAGAUGAAAUAUGACCCGAAGUUUGCCACUUCACCUAUCUUUAUCACCGAUAAGGAUUAUGAAUUCUCUGUCGACCCUGAGAUAAUCUCUCUAGUCGAAUCUAAUCCUUUUCACGAUUAUGAGUCUGAGACUGUCGUAGCCCAUCUUGCCAAACUACACGAUAUAGCCACCCUUUUCACUAAUGAGGAGAAGAUCCACCGCUACUAUAUCCUUAAGCUGUUUCAUUUCUCUCUAAAGGAUGACGCUAAAGCCUGGUUCAUCUCUCUUGCUCCUGGAUGUGUGAGUAGUCCCCGGGAGAUGGUCUAUUACUUCUGUGAGAAAUAUUUCCCUGCCCAUAAGAAGCAAGCUGCCUUGCAGGAAAUAUACAACUUUGCUCAACUCCAAGAAGAGAGUCUCCCACAAGCUUGGGGGAGGCUCGUCCAGCUACAGAAUGCUUUGCCUGAUCACCCUCUUAAGAAGAACGAGAUACUUGAUAUCCUCUAUAACGGACUUACUGAUGCCUCUAGAGACCACCUAGAUAGUUGUGUCGGUUGUGUUUUUAGGGAACGAACUAUAGAACAAGCUGAGACCCUACUGAAUAACAUCGUGAUCAACGAUAAUGCUUGGACUAUUCCUGAACCACCUCCGAAGCCAACUCCUAAGAAAAGAGGUAUUCUAUUCCUCAGUUCUGAAGAUAUGCAAGAAGCCAAGAAAUCCAUGCAAGAGAAAGGCAUUAGAUCUAAAGAUAUCAAAAAUCUACCACCUAUCGAAGAGAUCCAUGGUCUCGAUAACCCGAUAUAGGUAGUGGUAGUGAAUUCUCUGCGUAGGUUUGAUGAGAGUGAUAUUCCUUUUGAUAAACCUGCUAGCCUAUGCUUUGAUGAAUUUGAAAACUUUGUUGCCAAACAACAGAGUUUCAAUGAUUAUGUUAGCAGACAUUUGGAACAAAGUACUCGUAUGCUUAGCCAUUUAAGUGCUUGUGUAGACAGAAAUAUAAAUGCUCUGAAGCUUCUGAGUAAACAUGACUCUAUGAUUACUACUCAGGUAGAACAAGUACUUAAAGCUUAUAAUAACUUGCUCAAUGAAUUACAGGACAACUCUGUCAGAGUCAUUACUAGAGGAGGCAAAAUGACUCAGGAACCUUUGUAUCCUGAAGGUCAUCCUAAGAGAAUUGAUCAAGAUUCUCAAGGAGUCAAUGCUGAUACACCUAGUCAUCCUAAGGAGAAGAAGAAGGAUGAUAGAAACCUGCAUGCCAGUUCACCAAAUACUGUCACACCUAAAGAACCUAAUGAUAUUUCUGCGUCUGAUGCAGAAACACAAUGUGGUGAUGAACAUGAACCUGGUGACAAUAUGGACAAUGAUGUUCAUAAUAAUGCUCAACCUAGCAAUGAUGAGGAUGUGGAGAUUGAACCUACGGUUAAUCCUGAUAACCCACAACCUUAGAAAUAUGAUAAGAAUGACUUCACUGCUAGGAAGCAUGGUAAAGAAAGAGAGCCAUGGGUUCAGAGACCUAUGCCCUUCCCUCCUAAGCAAUCCAAGAAAAAGGAUGAUGAGGAUUUUGAGCGCUUCGUUGAGAUGAUUUGACCCAUCUUUCUGCAGAUGCGGUUAACUGAUAUGCUCAAGAUGUCUCCGUAUGCCAAGUACAUGAAAGAUAUCGUGACUAAUAAACGGAAGAUACCGGAUCUUGAGAUCUCCACCAUGCUUGCCAACUACACUUUCAAAGGUGGAAUUCCUAAGAAACUUGGUGAUCCCGGAGUGCCCACUAUACCUUGCUCCAUUAAAGGAAACUACGUAAGAACUGCCUUAUGUGACCUUGGAGCGAGUGUUAGUGUUAUGCCACUCUCUCUUUAUCGUAGACUUGAGUUGGAUAAGUUGACACCCAGUGAAAUUUCUCUGCAAAUGGCCGACAAGUCAGCUUCUUUCCCUAUCGGCCUUUGCGAGGAUGUGCCUGUUGUGGUUGCUAACACCACUAUCUUAAGAGACUUUGUUAUCUUGGAUAUUCCCGAGGACGAUGUCAUGGCUGUCAUCCUCGGAAGACCCUUUUUAAAUACUGCAGGGGCUGUUAUAGAUUGCAACAAAGGCAAUGUCACUUUCCAUGUCAACGGUAAUGAGCACACAGUGCACUUUCCGAAGAAACGAUAUCAAGUACAUUGCAUCAAUGCUAUCGAAAAGACUUCAUCGAUUCUCAUUGGGAUCUUUGAAUGUCCUAUUCCUCAUGUCAAGAUGAAGUAUGAUUUUCUUGUUGGGGAGAUACAUAUCCCCAUUGAGGUGACUUAGUGGCUAUUAGAAAUUUCUCCGUUCUCUCUUGUGAUUCGAGAAGGUUUUGUCAUAAGGACUUGAUCAAUCCCAUUGACGGAUUUCUUCCGAUGACCAUGAAACGGAUGAAUCAAAGAGCCACAUACCUCCGUUUAGAGCUUUCAUUUUCUUUUGCUUAGAAGAAAAAUGAUAGAAUUAGUUUAGCUUUUCCUGUUUUCUGUUUUAGCGUCCCGGAGAAAAAUACCUCAAAAAUAAAAGUUCUCCGAUGGUCCUGAAAAUUUAGUAUGAUUUUUUUUGGAAUUUUUGAAAAUUUCUGGGCCUAAGAGCUGGCCUGGGGGCCAGACCAGUGGGCCACAAGCCCUACCACCGCCACCUACCCCCUUGGUGGCGGAGUGCAAGCUUGUGGGGCCCACAUGGACCCCCUCCACUCAUUCCAGCUCCCAGCCUCUUCUUCCACCUCCAGGAAAAAUUGUUUCGCAGCUCAAACCCGUGUUCUUGCUCACUUGGCUGUAAUUUUCGAUCUCCUUGCUCAAAGCACCAUUCUUCGAACCGUUUUGGGGAAAUUACUCCUUCGUAAGUGACUCCUCCAUUGGUCCAAUUAGUUUUUUCUCUAGUGCUUUAUCCUUCGCGAAUUCUUGCUACCUUGGUGACCCUGUUCUUGAGCUUGAAAGGUUGAUUUUAGCUGGUCCCAAGUAGUUUUAGCGCGUGAUACGGUCUCUAGGCACUAGUAGGAGUAGUUGCUACAAGGUAUGUGAUACGUCCAUUUUGCAUCAUGCUUUCAUGUUGAUAUUUAUUGCUUCUUGGGCUGUUAUAUUACUUGUGGUACCAUAUUUAUGCCUUUUCUCUGUUAUUUUGCAAGGUUUAUUUGAAGAGGGAGAAUUCAGGCAGCUGGAAUUCUGGACUGGAAAAGGAGCAAAUCCUAGUCCACUAUUCUGCACAUCUCCAAAUUCCGUGAAUAUUUACAUGGAUUUUUUCUGGAAUAUAUUAAAAAUACUCGGUGAAAGAACUACUGGAGGGGGGCCACGAGGGCCCCACAAGCUUGCCCACCGCCACCACCCCCCUGGUGGCGUAGGGAAGGCUUGUGGGCUUCCUGAAGGCCCACUAGCCCCUCUCUUUUGCUAUAUGAAGCGUCCUGGCCUGGAAAAAAUCAAUAGGGAGCUUUUUCGUGGUUUCGCCGCCGCCACGAGGCGGAACUUGAGCAGAUCCAAUCUAGAGCUCUGGCAGGACGAUCCUGCCGGGGAAAUUUCCCUCCCGGAGGGGGGAAUCGUCGCCAUCGUCAUCACCAACACUCCUCUCGUCGGAGGGGAGGCAUCUUCAUCAACAUCUUCAUCAGCACCAUCUCCUCUCCAAUCCUUAGUUCAUCUCUUGUAACCAAUCUUCGUCUCGCAACUCAGAUUGGUACUUGUAAGGUUGCUAGUAGUGUUGAUUACUCCGGGUAUGAUUAUGAUUAUGUCUUGUGAGUAGUUACUUUUGUUCCCGAGGACAUGGGAUAAGUCAUACUCAUAAUAGUCAUGUGAAUUUGAUAUUCGUUCGGUAUUUUGAUAUGUUGUAUGUUGUUUUUCCUCUAGUGGUGUUAUGUGAAUGUCGACUACAUAACACUUCACCAUAUUUGGGCCUAGAGGAAGGCAUUGUGAAGUGGUAAGUAGAUGAUGGGUUGCUGGAGUGACAGAAGCUUAAACCCCAGUCUAUGCAUUGCUUCGUGAGGGGCUGAUUUGGAUCCACUAGUUUAAUGCUAUGGUUAGACUUUGUCUUAAUUCUUCUUUUGUAGUUGCGGAUGCUUGCGAGAGAGGUUAAUCUUAAGUGGGAUGCUUGUCCAAGUAAGGGCAGUACCCAAGCGCCGGUCCACCCACAUAUCAAACUAUCAAAGUAACAAACGCGAAUCAUAUGAACAUGAUGAAACUAGCAUGGCAGAAAUUCCCGUGUGUCCUCGGGAGCGUUUUUCCUCGUAUAAGAAUUUGUUCAGGCUUGUCCCUUGCUAUAAAAGGGAUUGGGCCACUAGCUGCACCAUUGCUACUACUUGUUACUUGUUACUCUUUGCUUGCUACGUUUCACCUCGCUACACAAUCACUUGUUACCGCUACUUUCAGUGCUUGCAGUUAUUACCUUGCUGAAAUCCGUUUAUGAGACCCUUUUGCUCCUCGUUGGGUUCGACACUCUUACUUAUCGAAAGGACUACGAUUGAACCCCUAUACUUGUGGAUCAUCAAGACUCUUUUCUGGCACCGUUGCCGGGGAGUGAAGUGCCUUUGGUAAGUGGAAAUUGGUAAGGAAACAUUUAUAUACUGUGCUGAAAUUUAUUGUCACUUGUCUCUAUGGAAACUCUUCCUUUGAGGAGUUUGUUCGGGGUAUCUUCACCACGAACGGAAGCACGAGGAGUUUCUCCUCAACCGGAGGUACCUACAGAAAAUAUCUUUUAUGAAAUUCCUUUGGGUAUGCUUGAGAAACUGCGGCUAAUCCUUUUACACGAGAUGGAUCUUCACAUCCAGACUUUCAUCUAAUCUAUGUAGAUGAAGUUUGUGGUUUAUUUAAGCUUGCAGGUUUGCCCAAGGAUGAGGUAAAGAAGAAAGUCUUUCCUUUAUCUUUGAAGGAUAAGGCGUUGACAUGGUAUAGGCUAUGUGAUGAUGCUGGAUCAUGGGGCUACAAUCGGUUGAAAUUGUAAUUUCAUCAAAUGUUCUAUCCUAUGCAUUUAGUAGAUCGUGAUCGGAACUUUAUUUAUAACUUUUGGCCUCGUGAUAGGGAAAGCAUAGCUCAAGCUUGGGGAGGCUUAAAUCAAUGCUAUAUUCAUGCCCCAAUCAUGAGCUCUCGAGAGAAAUCAUCACUCAAAACUUUUAUGCUUGGCUUUCUCAUGAAGAUCGUACCAUGCUUGACACUUCUUGUGCCGGUUCUUUAUGAAGAAGGAUAUUGAUCACAAGUGAAAUUUAUUGGAGAGAAUCAAACACAACUCUGAAGAUUGGGAGCUGGAGGAAGGUAAGGACUCAGGUAUGAAUUUCCAGUUUGAUUGUGUUAAAUCUUUUGUUGAGACAAACACUUCUAGAGAUUUUAGCGCUAAGUAUGGACUUGACUCUGAGAUAGUAGCUUCUCUAUGUGAAUCUUUUGCUGCUCAUGUUGAUCUUCCCAAAGAGAAGUGGUUUAAAUAUCGUCCUCGUGUAGAAAGCAACAUAGCCAAAACCAAUCUAGUUGAGGAGAAAAUCAUAGCUUUUAGUGAUCCUGUUGUUCCUUGUGCUUACACUGAGAAACCACCAUACCCUGCUAGGAUGAAGGACUAUUCUAAAGCUCCAACUGUGAUACGUAGGGGUUACAUUAGACCACUUGCACCCCCCGAGGAGAUUAGAGUUGAACCUAGUGUUGCUAUUAUCAAAGAUCUCUUAGCCGAAGACAUAGACAGGCAUGUUAUUAAAUUCUGUGAGGACUCCGCUAGAAUUGCUAAACCUCACGUGAAAGACAAGCACGGACCUGUAGUUGGCCUGCCCGUUGUUUCUGUUAAGAUAAGAGAUCACUGUUAUCAUGGUUUAUGUGAUAUGAGAGCUAGUGUUAGUGCAAUACCCCGUUCUCUCUAUGAUGAAAUCAAAGAUGAGAUUGCACCUGCUGAGUUACAACCCAUUGAUGUCACUAUUACGUUAGCUAAUAGAGACACUAUCUGCCCUCUGGGAAUUGUGGGAGACGUAGAAGUCCUGUGUGGUAAGACGAAGUAUCCUACUGAUUUCCUCGUCCUUGGUACUGCACAAGAUAGCUUUUGUCCCAUCAUAUUUGGUAGACCCUUUCUCAACACUGUCAAUGCUCACAUUGAUUGCAUUAAGCAGACUGCCACAGUAAGUUUUGAGGGUGUGCCUCAUGAAUUUAACUUCUCCAAGUUUGGAAGACAACCCCAUGAAAGAGAGUCGUCUGGUAGAGAUGAAAUCAUUGCUCUUGCCUCUAUUUCCGUACCUCCUACGGAUCCUUUAGAGCAAUAUCUUCUUGAGCAUGAAAAUGAUAUGCAUAUGGAGGAGAGAGAUGAGAUAGAUAGAAUUGUCUUAGAACAAUAUCCUAUUCUCAAGAAUAAUCUGCCUGUUGAACUGCUUGGGGAUCCUCCCCCACCAAAGGGAGAUCCUGUGUUCGAGCUUAAACAGUUGCCUGAUACUCUUAAGUAUGCCUGUCUUGAUGAGAAGGAGAUAUAUCCUGUCAUUAUUAGUGCUCUCCUCUCAGAGCGCGAAGAGAAGAAGUUACUAAAAACUCUGAAGAAGCACCGCGCUGCUAUUGGAUAUACUCUUGAUGAUCUUAAGGGUAUUGGUCCUACUCUAUGUCAGCACAAGAUUAAAACCGAUCCUGACUUUAAGCCAGUUGCUGAUCAUCAAAGGAGAUUAAAUCCUAAGAUAAAAGAGGUCGUUACAAAAGAAAUAUUAAAGCUUAUGGAAGCAGGAAUCAUUUAUCCUGUUGCUCAUAGUGAUUGGGUAAGUCCAGUACAUUGCCUACCUAAGAAGGGAGGUAUCACCGUCGUUCCUAAUGAUAAGGAUGAACUAAUCCCACAAAGUAUUAUUACCGGCUAUAGAAUGGUGAUAGACUUCCGGAAACUGAACAAGGCAACCAGGAAAGAUCAUUAUCCUUUGUCGUUCAUCGACCAAAUGCUAGAAAGGUUAUCAAAACACACACACUUCUGCUUUCUAGACGGUUAUUCAGGUUUCUCGCAAAUACCCGUUGCACAGUCUGAUCAAGAGAAAACCACUUUCACCUGCCCUUUCGGUACCUUUGCCUAUAGAUGUAUGCCUUUUGGCUUAUGUAAUGCACCCGCCACCUUCCAAAGAUGUAUGAUGGCUAUAUUCUCUGACUUUUGUGAAAAGAUUGUCGAGGUUUUCAUGGAUGACUUCUCUGUUUACGGGUCUUCCUUUGAUGAUUGCCUCAGCAACCUUAAUCGAGUCUUACAGAGAUGCGAAGAAACCAACCUCGUCUUGAAUUGGGAGAAGUGCCACUUUAUGGUUAAUGAAGGUAUCGUCUUAGGACACAAAAUCUCUGAAAGAGGCAUUGAAGUUGAUAAGGCUAAGGUUGAUGCAAUUGAGAAAAUGCCUUGCCCCACAGAUAUCAGAGGUAUACGAAGUUUCUUAGGUCAUGCUGGUUUCUAUAGAAGGUUCAUUAAAGACUUUUCUAAGAUUUCUAGGCCUCUUACCAACCUCUUGCAGAAGGAUGUUCCUUUUGUUUUUGAUGAGGAUUGUGAGGAAGCCUUCGAAAUACUUAAGAAGGCUUUGAUAACCGCACCUAUUGUUCAACCACCUGACUGGAACUUGCCCUUUGAAAUCAUGUGUGACGCUAGUGAUUAUGCUGUUGGUGCUGUUGUAGGACAAAGAGUUGACAAGAAGUUGAAUGUCAUUCACUACGCUAGUAAAACUCUAGACAGUGCCCAAAGAAACUAUGCCACUACGGAGAAGGAAUUUUUAGCAGUCGUGUUUGCAUGUGAAAAGUUCAGAUCUUACAUAGUUGACUCCAAAGUCACUAUUCAUUCUGAUCAUGUUGCUAUUAAGUACCUUAUGCAGAAGAAGGACGCUAGGCCUAGGCUGAUCAGAUGGGUUCUCCUGCUACAGGAAUUUGAUUUGCACGUCGUUGACCGAAAAGGUGCGGAUAACCUUGUAGCAGAUAACUUGUCUAGGCUAGAGAAUGUCCUUGAUGACCCACUACCAAUUGAUGACAGCUUUCCUGAUGAGCAAUUAAAUGUCAUCCGCACUUCACUUAGUGCACCGUGGUAUGCCGAUUAUGCAAACUAUAUCAUAGCCAAAUACAUACCACCCAGUUUCACCUAUCAACAAAAGAAGAAAUUCUUCUUUGAUUUGAGACACUAAUUUUGGGAUGAUCCUCACCUUUAUAAGGAAGGAGUAGAUGGUGUUAUUAGACGUUGUGUGCCUGAACAUGAACAGGGACAGAUCCUGUAGAAGUGUCAUUCCGAAGCCUACGGAGGACACCAUGCUGGAGAUAGAACUGCCCACAAGGUAUUGCAAUCAGGUUUCUAUUGGCCCACUCUCUUCAAGGAUGCUCGUAAGUUUGUCUUAUCUUGUGACGAAUGCCAAAGGAUAGGGAACAUUAGUAAGCGUCAAUAGAUGCAUAUGAACUAUUCACUUGUCAUUGAACCAUUUGAUGUCUGGGGCUUUGAUUAUAUGGGACCCUUCCCGAGUUCCAAUGGGUACACUCACAUCUUAGUUGCUGUGGAUUACGUUACUAAGUGGGUAGAAGCUAUCCCCACUAAAAAUGUUGAUCACCACACCUCUAUUAAGAUGCUUAAAGAAGUCAUAUUCCCAAGAUUUGGAUUCCCUAGAUACUUGAUGACUGAUGGUGGUUCACACUUCAUUCAUGGUGUUUUCCGCAAGAUGCUAGCUAAGUAUGAUGUCAACCAUAGAGUUGCAUCUCCUUAUCAUCCUCAGUCUAGUGGUCAAGUGGAGUUGAGUAAUAGGGAGAUCAAGUUGAUCCUACAAAAGACCGUCAAUAGAUCUCGAAAGAACUGGUCUAGCAAACUUGACGAUGCACUAUGGGCUUAUAGGACUGCUUAUAAGAAUCCCAUGGGCAUGUCACCGUAUAAAAUGGUUUACGGUAAGGCCUGUCAUUUACCUCUUGCGUUGGAACACAAAGCUUAUUGGGCAAUCAAAGAGCUCAACUUUGAUUUCAAACUUGCCGGUUAGAAGCAGUUGUUUGAUAUCAGCUCGUUAGAUGAAUGGAGAGCCCAGGCAUAUGAGAAUGCCAGGUUGUUCAAGGAAAAGGUUAAGAGAUGGUACGACAAACGAAUACAGAAACGAGAGUUCAAUGUAGGUGAUUAUGUCUUGCUAUACAAUUCUCGUUUGAGAUUCUUUGCAGGCAAGCUUCUCUCUAAAUGGGAAGGUCCCUAUGUUGUCGAGGAAGUAUAUCGUUCCGGUGCCAUCAAAAUCAAUAACACGGAAGGAAAUUUUCCUAGAGUGGUAAAUGGGCAAAGAAUCAAGCAUUACAUCUCUGGUACUCCCAUAAAUGUUGAGACCAAUAUCAUCAAUGUCAUAACUCCAGAGGAGUACAUAAGGGAUGUUUAUCAGCCUGUUUCAGACCUUGAAAACGAAGAUGUAUCUGUUUCGCAAGAAAUUGUACUCCGAUACUUUUCCAAUAGAAAAUUUCCUCAGUUUUGGAAUUUUUGGAAAAUUAGAAAAAUAAAAAUAAGUCCGGAGAGCAAACGAGGAAGCCACAAGGGCCCACUCCGCCACCACCCCCUGGUGGCGGUGGGCAAGCUUGUGGGCACCUCGUAUGCCUCCCGGACUCCGUUUUCUUGCGGAGGACUCCUUCUGGCCCAGAAAAAAAAUCAAUAUAUAGUUGCCCGAAGGUUUUGAUCUCCGUAUCACGUAGUUUUCCUCUGUUUUUGUUUCGAGCUUGUUGUCUGCCGCAGAUUUAGAGAAAAGAUGUCUCAGGAAUCUGUUGGGGAGAAUGAUCUUCACCAAGUUCAUGAGGAAGUAGAUGCUGAUCUGAAAAGAGUAGAAGUUACAGAAGCCAGGGACCAAGCUAAGGAUAAAACCCAAGCUAGGGAGGAAGUUCAACCUAUGUCAACAUUGAAGACGUUGAAGGAGUAGACUUUCUCCAACCCUUCCUCCACAUGCUGUCUCCAUCCUUGAUUGAAGUCUUGAGGUUUUGCAAAACAACUCGUGCUCACAAUAUUUAUCUUUCUCGUGAAGUUGUUUUGCUGGAAAACCAUGUCACAGAUCUCAAAGGUAUAAAUCAAAGGUUGAUAGCUUUCUUGGAAUCAAAGGCGACAACAACACCACCAUCACCACCAAAGGAAGACAACUAAGCAUUGGUAUGGGCAAUCCCCUUCGCUUCUGCCAAGCUUGGGGGAGUUGCCCUGGUAUCGUAUCACCUUUAUAUCUUUUGCUUUUACCUUUGUUUUAGUUCUUUCCUUUUCAGUUUUUAUUUCUUCUUUUAGAGGAAUAAGUCUUUAGUUUGUAGUUUGAGUCUUUUGCUUUUGUCUCUCCCCCGAUGUAUUCGAGCUUACGAGCUAUAUAAUAAAGAGUGUCUUAGUCAAGGGCUUUGCUUUGUGCCAUGAUCAAAGAGUAUGAAAAGAAUGAUAGCAUGAAAGAUCAUGAGACGAUCUUAUGGAAAGUGAUAACUUCACUUAUGACAUGUAUGAUGAUUGAAACGUGUUGAGAAUAAAUCAACAUAGACAUUAGUCAUUGUUGCAAUUAAUAAGAAGUAAUAAGGAAAGAGUGGUCCACAUAUAAAUAUAUCAUCUUAGACACUUUUUACAAUUGUGAGCACUCACCAAACUAUUACAUUCCUAGGAGUAGAUGUUGAACAAGGAAGACAACAUAAUGAAUUGUGUUUGCUUGGUUCCAAACAAUGUUAUAUGAUUAGAGAUCCCUUAGCAUGUGACGAUUGCUUCCACCUCAUAUUAGCCAAAACCCCCGCACCAAGUAGAGAUACUACUUGUGCAUCCAUAAACCUCAAACCAGUUUUGCCAUGAGAGUCCACCAUACCUACCUAUGGAUUGAAUAAGAUCCUUCAAGUAAGUUGUCAUCGGUGCAAGCAAUAAAAAUUGCUCUCUAAUAUGUAUGAUCUAUUAGUGUGUGGAAAAUAAGCUUUGUACGAACCUGUGAUGAGGAAGACAUAAAAGCGACAGACUGCAUAAUAAAGUUCUUUGUCACAUGAGGCAAUAUAAAGUGACGUUUCUCCGCACUAAGAGGACAUGCAUCCAAACCUCAAAAGCGCAUGACAACCUCUGCUUCCCUCUGCGAAGGGCCUAUAUUGUACCUUUACUUUUUACCCUUGUAAGAGUCAUGGUGAUCAUCACCAAUUCCCUUUUUGCCCUUGUCUUGGCUACCGUCACAUUCUUGGGAAAGAUCUAUAUUCAUAUAUCAACUUGGAGUUGAGUACUCAUGCUUUAUUAUUGUUGACUUUACCCUUGAGGUAAACCGUUGGGAGACAAAACUAUAAGACCAUAUCUUCCUCUGUGUGUAGCUGAAGCUUUGACACCAUGAGUACCACGUGAGUUAUAACAAUUGUGGAAAAUAAAAGAGAUGAUUGAGUAUGUGGGUUUGCCUUACUAGCUCUUAUUUGACUCUUUCUGAUGUUGUGAUAAAUUGCAAUUGCUUCAGUGACUAUUGAUUAUUGUUGGUUACUUCUCGGUAAGGUUUUUGCUUCAUGCUUUGCUUUGUGAAGGAAUUGUUACUUUCCCAUAAGAAUAUUUAUGAUAUAUUAAUGUUCUAUGUGUGAUCAUGAUGCCCUCAUGUUCGUAUUAUGUUUUAUCGACACCUUCGUCCCUCAACAUGUGGACAUGUUUAUGGAACUUGGUUUUCGCUUGAGCACAAGCGAGGUCUAAGCUUGGGGGAGUUGAUACGUCCAUUUUGCAUCAUGCUUUCAUGUUGAUAUUUAUUGCUUCUUGGGCUGUUAUAUUACUUGUGGUACCAUAUUUAUGCCUUUUCUCUCUUAUUUUGCAAGGUUUAUUUGAAGAGGGAGAAUUCAGGCAACUGGAAUUCUGGACUGGAAAAGGAGCAAAUCCUAGUCCACUAUUCUGCACAUCUCCAAAUGCCCUAAAAAUUUACGUGGAUUUUUUUUGGAAUAUAUUAAAAAAUACUGGGCGACAGAACUACUGGAGGGGGCCACCACGGCCCCACAAGCUUGCCCACCGCCACCACCCCCAUGGUGGUGCAGGGCAGGCUUGUGGGCUGCGUGAAGGCCCACUAGCCCCCCUCUUUUUUUUAUAUGAAGCGUCCUGGUCUGGAAAAAAAUCAAUAGGGAGCUUUUUCGUGGUUUCGCCGCCGCCACGAGGCGGAACUUGAGCAGAUCCAAUCUAGAGCUCCAGGAGGACGAUCCUGUCGGGGAAAUUUCCCUCACGGAGGGGGGAAUCGUCGCCAUCGUCAUCACCAACACUCCUCUCGUCGGAGGGGAGGCAGCUUCAUCAAUAUCUUCACCAGCACCAUCUCCUCUCCAAUCACUAGUUCAUCUCUUGUAACCAAUCUUCGUCUCGCAACUCAGAUUGGUACUUGUAAGGUUGCUAGUAGUGUUGAUUACUCUUUGUAGUUGAUGCUAGUUGGAUUACUUGGUGGAAGAGUUUAUGUUCAGAUCCUUGAUGCUAUUCAUUAUACCUCUGGUCAUGAUUAUGAUUAUGUCUUGUGAGUAGUUACUUUUGUUCCUGAGGACAUGGGAUAAGUCAUGCUGAUAAUAGUCAUGUGAAUUUGAUAUUUGUUCGGUAUUUUGAUAUGUUGUAUGUUGUUUUUCCUCUAGUGGUGUUAUGUGAACGUCGACUACAUAACACUUCACCAUAUUUAGGCCUAGAGGAAGGCAUUGUGAAGUAGUAAGUAGAUGAUGGGUUGCUGGAGUGACAGAAGCUUAAACCCCAGUCUAUGCGUUGCUUCGUGAGGGGCUGAUUUGGAUCCAGUAGUUUAAUGCUAUGGUUAGACUUUGUCUUAAUUCUUCUUUUGUAGUUGCGGAUGCUUGCGAGAGAGGUUAAUCAUAAGCGGGAUGCUUGUCCAAGUAAGGGCAGUACCCAAGCGUCGGUCCACCCACAUAUCAAACUAUCAAAGUAACGAACGCGAAUCAUAUGAACAUGAUGAAACUAGCAUGACAGAAAUUCCCGUGUGUCCUCGGGAGCGUUUUUCCUCCUAUAAGACUUUGUUCAGGCUUGUCCCUUGCUACAAAAGGGAUAGGGCCACUUGCUGCACCAUUGCUACUACUUGUUACUUGUUCCUCUUUGCUUGCUACGUUUCACCUUGCUACACAAUCACUUGUUACCGCUACUUUCAGUGCUUGCAGUUAUUACCUUGCUGAAAUCCGUUUAUCAGAGCCUUCUGCUCCUCGUUGGGUUCGACACUCUUACUUAUCAAAAGGACUACGAUUGAUCCCCUAUACUUGUGGGUCAUCAGUAUGGUUGGUCUUCAUUCACUUUUCUCUUGAACUUCAAAAAUUUCAGCAAAAGGAAAUUAUGUUCAGGAGGAAGUUUUAUGGUGGUUCCUCAAGUAAGAAGGGUCCCCCUCUUUCUUUUCGGGAGCCCGAACCUUUUCAACUAAGGGACGCACCGGUACAACCAUCUGAAUGGCCUUCCGAUGAGUUCAUGAUUGAAGCAGGUUUCAAGGAUGAGUUUGAUACACUUGUCCGCAAUGCCGGGUUAGAAGAAUUCCUCUCAGAUAAGUGUGAACAGUAUGCUAUGCUCACUGCCUCUUUCGUGCGUAGAUUUAAAUUUUCAGUUGGCCGUGACUCAUCCAUACUGUUUGAUCUGUACGAUAAAUCUUAUACCGUGGAUUUGGAGGAUUUCAAUAGGAUUUGCAAGAUACCCGAUGGGGGUAGUAUUAAUGAUCCUUCUAAAUCUUCGGUCAGAGACUUUGUCUCUAGUAUAACUGUUGGAGAAACCAGAGAUAUCAUGCAAGCCACCAUAGGAAGCAUCCAUUUCCCUACCUUGCACUACCUUUCCCUCUUCAUAGGUAGGUGCAUUAACGGCAAGGGUGCACAUUGUCACCUAUGCGCUUCGGACCUUAGUAUCCUUAAGAGCGCAGUAACAGGUGACAGGCACUACAGGAAUCAACUUCUUUGCCGUCUGCCAUCACGGACGGCAAAGAGUAAAUCCCGGACAGCAAAGAGAAUAUCACAGACGGCAAAGAAUCUCACGGCCGACAAAAUUUCUGCGUCAGCCUACGACGGCAUCGUACCUUCUUUGCCGUCUGUCUCCCCAAAGCGGGCGACAAAGAGCUUUGCCGUCAGCUUUUCAUAGGAGCAGUUGGCAAAGUGAUCGAGACGGCAGCCAACAGGCGUUGCCUCCGUUAGGGGCUAACGGAGGCUUUGCCGUCUGCCUCCCCCUCUUCUUUGCCGUCUACCUCCCCCCCUCUUCUUUGCCGUCUGCCUCCCCCCUCUUCUUUGUUGUCUGCCUCCUCCUCCCCCCUCCACUCUUUGCCGUCUGCCUACCCCUCCCCCCUCCUCCGUGCCCUCUUCUUUGCCGUCUGCCCCCCUGGAAGCAGACGACAAAGAUACUAUAUGGCCAGCUACUACUGCCCAGGUUGCACAGCUGGGCGCCACGUGGCACCUUUGCCGUCGGCCAGCUGAUGGCAAAGGCCUUUGCCAUCAGCUAGCAGACGGAAAAGAGCCUAUAUUGUCACAUUUUUGUUUAUUUUUUCUAUUUCACAGCACAUAUACAUAUAAUUCAUAGCACAUAUAUGAUAAAUAGGUCACAACACAUAUAUGAUAUACAUAUAAAGCUCAUCAAUGCCAUUUGUUCAUCAACGUACAUCCCAUAUAUCAAAAGAACCAACACAUACAAAGUUUCAUCCAUAUAUACAUACAUAUAGUUGCACAUAUAUUGUUCAUCCAUAUAUACAUAUACAUAUAGUUCCACAUUGUUCAUCAACUCAAAUAAAAACGGAAACUAAAGCACUCCAAUGCCAGCUUCCAUGCAUGUAGUACAUCCAAUCUGCAAAAUGGGAAUAAGAAAGUAAGAAGAAGAAGAACAACAACAUAUAUAUGAAAAAUAAGCUAAAUUGAAGAAGAAAGAUAAGAAGGAAGAAGAGAACAAGGAGAAGAAAAACAAGAAGGAGGAGGAGGAGGAGGAGGAGGAGGGGAAGGGGAAGGAGAAGGAUAAGGAGGAGGAGAAGAAGAAAAAUAAGAGAAGGAGAAGGAGAAGGAGGAGGAGGAGAAGGAGGAGAGAAGAAGAAGGAGAAGAAGGAGGGCUAUUUCUUCUUCUUCUCCUCCUUCUCCUUCUUCUUCUCUUCUUCUCCUCCUCCUCCUUCUUCUUCUCCUUCUCCUUUUCCUUCUCUUCUUCUCUUCUUCUUCUUCUUCUUCCUUCUUUUCAUUUCUCCUAUUCUCCUCUUCUUGGAGCUAAAUUAGCUAACUAUAUAAUAUUAAUGAGCUAACCAAGGUUCUUAUGCCAUUUUGAGCUUAUAAUGUCUUUUAGGAGCUAAAUUGGCUAAUUAUAUCAUUGUUGGGGAAAUUAAGGAAGGAGAAUAUGAAAUAGGAGAAGAAAGAGGAGGAGGAGGAGAAGAAGAAGAAAUAAAGAAGAAGGAGGAGAAGGAGGAGGAGGAGGAGAAGGACUAGAAGGUCCUUGGCCUUCUCCUCUUUCUCCUCCUCCUCCUCCUCCUUCUCCUUCUUCUCUUCUUCUGCUUCUUCUUUCUUUUCAUUUUUCCUAUUUCUUCUCCUCUUCUCCUCUUGUUGGAGCUAAAUUAGCUAACUAUGUCUUUUUGGAGCUAAAUGGGCUAAUUAUCUCAUUUUAGAGGAAAACAAGCUAAGUAUAUAAUAUUAAUGAGCUAACCAAGGUUCUUAUGCCAUUUUGAGCUUAUUAUGGCAUUUUGGAGCUAAAUGGGUAAUUAUGUCAUUGUUGGGGAAAUUAAGGCAAGGAGAAUAUGAAAGAGGAGAAGAAAUAGGAGGAGGAGGAGAAGAAGAAGAAAUAAAGAAGAAGGAGGAGAAGGAGGAGGAGGAGGAGGAGGAGAAGGACUAGAAGGUCCUUAGGCCUUCUCCUCCUUCUCCUCCUCCUACUUCUUCUCUUGUUCUUCUUCUUCUUUCUUUUGAUUUUUCCUAUUUCUUCUCCUCUUCUUGGAGAUAAAUUAGCUAACUAUGUCUUUUUGGAGCUAAAUGGGCUAAUUAUGUCAUUGUUGGGGAAAUUAAGGCAAGGAGAAUAUGAAAGAGGAGAAGAGAAACUUACCGUAGUGGUCAUCAAGGAGGAGAAACACCUGGAGAAGGGUCGUGCAAUUUUCGCUCGAGAGUUAUUCUACACAAUAGAUAUUUUGCAAUGUCUCAGUUAGCAUGAUGACACUCAAUUAUUAAUACUAGUUUAUAAUGAAACUCACCGUGCCAAUCGAAGAGAAGACGGGCAUCGACGGAGGGACUUGACCGCUCUUCUCGCACAGACCCAGAAGAGUGGGUCGUAUUAGUUAGUAAUGAAACAAACAUUACACACAUGAUUUGGCUAAUGUGAAAAAAACUUACCACAAAAAGCUCGUACGGGGCCCGUUCACCCGCCUCAUUCUGAGACCUCUCCUCCUCAAUCAAUCAUGCCGUGGUCUGGUCCCUCUCAUCAAGAGCAGCCUGACUUGCCAAUCUCUCUUUCUCAAGAGCAGCCUCAAGAGCAGCCUGGCUUGCCAAUCUCUCUUUCUCAAGAGUAGCCUGGUUUUCCAAUCUCUCUUUCUGAAGAGCAGCCUGAAACACCAUUCCUCGUUACCACAGUAAUGAUCUAUGGUGACACACAUAAUGAAAUGGAUGAAAGUGUUCUUAGUCCUUACAACUAACCUCAAUGGCAAGAUCGACUGUCCGUGGACGAGCAUUAUCUCAGGACAGCUGCUCGACUGGCGCGCCUUGAUCUCCGGGAGAGUGAGUGGACAACGUAUUAUCCCAUCUCCAAUGGUUAUCGAUCCAUGGGGCCUCCCGCCACCAGAUAUCAUCACCAGCUCUGGAUCCAAAGGUUCCUGGCUAGGGUUAGAGUCAUCCCCUUCCGUAGCCUUCCCCGCAUCCCUGUAUGCCACGAGCUUCUGGUAGGAUGAUAUGUUGGUGAAGUUAUUGGGAUCAUCCAGGUCAGACUCAGAGAAUGCCUUCUCCUUCUUGUACGAGGCAGUAUGGGCCAUGCCAUAAAGGUCGUACAAGUGUGGCAUCUCCGUCUUAUUGUGAUGCGCCUAAAAGAGAGGAACAAAAUAUUAGCAUGAAGAAUGAAUUGCAUGAAUCAUGAAGCAAAUCACAUACCUAGUUUCGUCCGAACUGAAGUAAGUUGGCGCUGCCUUGAUGGUGUGGCACACCAACCAUUUGGCUACGCCGAUCCUUCGCAUUCUCGUGGACGGCUCACCAGCUGCCUGUGCACCACUCAUCAACCAACGCCUCCCAACAAUCCAUCUUAUCCGCACACCAUCUCGGGGGCACCUGUAAGUUAUUAGAAAGAAUUUUCAGCGCUACGCCUAUGAAUGAAAUCAAGAAAACUACGUAGAAGGACUUAAGAAUAGGUAAUUACCUUCAUGUAUUGCUCCUUCUUCAGAAACUUUCCACGACAAUCCUUCUUCUGCUUCUUAAUACCACAAGUGGCAUAGUAAUCUCGAAUAGCCUGCGGCCGAGCCUCGUGGCACAAGUUCUGUAGUAACCGCCUACACUCGGCCUCGAGAACCCUGGCCGCCUCCUCCUCAUAUCCAUUCUCACACCUAUAGAAGGUCUGCAAUCAAACGUGAAAACACCGAUUAGUACAAUAAUUAGCUAUAUUGUUAAUUUUAGAUUAUGUAAAAGGAUGAUUUACCCAAAAGCUCUUGAUCACCAUCUCGGCCCUUGUGUGGCACAAGACACCAUCUAUAAUCCCCUCCGGCGGGGCCUGCGCAGCCUGGUAGUGCUCCCAAGAAAAUCCUAGUGUAGGAACCUGACCCUCACCAGGCAACGUGACAAACCCCGGGAAAUUUGUCCGGAAAAGCACACCAAGGACGGAGUUCGGCCUGCGGACUCCAAGAGGGGGUACCCAUCCUCUGCAGUAUGAUAAGGUCAACGCAUUAGAUAUUUGAAGAAACUUGAAGGCAAAAGCUAAAAAAAGAGUAACUAUACUUACCUAUCUCCUUCAGGUUUAAUCACCGGCCUCUGCUCGCGGGUAGCCGACGCGACCGGGAGACGUGUACUACCACGCUUGUACACGGUGGCCCCGUCCACCUGCCCAUCGCCCUCACUAUCCGUAAGCUCAUCCCCGCCAUCCCCGCCCCCUGAGCCACCCGGACCCUCCGUCCAAUCCGGCAACUCGGUACGAUCCGGCCAGGUCUCCCAUCUGGGCCUCUCCACGUCGGGUGAAGCCUCCGGAACCGUAGUCUCGUGGGCGGAAUGCACCUCGACCCGAGGCUGCUCCUGGAUCGGAGUCUCAUGGGACGAACACCCGUCAACACCAGGCGCCUGGAACGGAGUUCCCGUAGCCUCCUCCGCAAACGGGUCGACCAUAGUACUCCUAUGCUCGGGUGAAUGAGCUGGUGGUGGUGGCGAGGACGGCUCAACAGUCCUCCUGGAUCUUCUGUGGCCACCACCUCUCCCUGUACCCUUCCCCUUCUUCCCUACCCGACCAACACCUCUCCAAGUGGGCAAUGCCACCGACGAAGAAGAACCCACGGGUGGUGUCGACAGACUGUCUGCCAAGGCUCUACGGAGAGAUAGGGGUGGAAGGGAAGUACCACCCCUCGUGCGGGGCGCUUGGGAAGAACCCGUUGAGCGAUCUGGACCAGCGCCCAUCAUCUUUCCACACCUGGUGACCUGCCAUGAUAAAGAUUAAAAGAAAUUAGUACAACAUAAAAAAAUUGAAUAACUUAUAUGAAUAAUAAUAUGUACAUGAAUAAUAAAGAUUAAAAAUAUAUAAUUUAAGUUGUGAAUCUUGCAAACUAAUAAUCAUCAUCAAUAAAUGCAUCAUCAUCAUCACUAUCACGCAUGUCUUCAUGAAUGACGUGCUCGUCGGGUUCAACGGCGUGAAGUUGUGAAAGGCCUUCCUUUUAUCGUUGAAGCAUUGACACGUCAUCCGCAUCAGUAACCUCUACGAGUUCCAGGUCUUCUGGUUCCGGCUCAGGGCUGGAGUCGGAUUUAUUGUCGCUGUCUACUUCCAUGUUCUUGGGUGAAGCACGACGGUUCUUGAAACGUUUCUUGGAAAGAUGUGUUUCUUGGAAGAAUUCUCCAUCAUAUGUGUCUGGGUUAAUGUGAGGUUCAUAAUCCUAUUCAUUUGGGAGAGGUGGUCUGACAUGUGGCGACACUUCAUAAACAACAUACCAACCUUCCAGAUUCUUAUCCAUUUGGCAUGCCCACGGUAGAUAGAAAACUUGGGUUGACUGUUGAGCUGUAAUAUAGACAUCGGGAACAUCUAAAUGGGUGUUUGGAUUGAUUUCGACUAGUCCUAUAUGUUCGUGAGUCCUUCUAGUCUUCUUCGGCUGGAACCAAUAACAUUUGAAGACUACGACGUUCGGUGGGUUUUCACCAUAGAAUUGAAGUUCAUAAAUUGCUUCAACUCUUCCAUAAUACUCGAUAACACCUUUGCCGAUAGUAGAGACACCACAUUUUGUAGAUUUCCGGUCGGGCAUAGAUAGCUCUUUGCCAAAGGUACGAAAGAGAUACCCGUUGAUGUUCUAUUUCUCAAAUGAACGGACCUUAUAGUCAAAACCAUUAGGGACUUGUCUCAAUUCGGCGUCCAUAGACUCUGAAUUAGCCUACAAGUUUAAUACGAAAUGAUUGUUGCAUUAGCCACAAGUUAGACCAAGAAAUGAAAAGGUCCAUUAUUGAUAAUUACCAUUUGUUUGAAACAAGACAUGAAAUCGGGAUAGCCGCCUCCCGUCUUUGACAGAAGCUCAUACUCUUCGACGGAAUCAUUUUCGAUCACCGCUCCAUCCGAGAAUUUGGCGACAUAACGACUGUUUGAAAUAUCCGGGAAUAAGAGUAGUUCAAAUGAAUUAGAAGUUACGGGAAAAUGUGCCGAGAACUCACUCGAUGUACGGCCGCACUUCUGUUAAGUUGUUGAAGAUAUACAACGAAAUGUUCCGGCAUUCUUCGACAUCCAACGUUAUUGGUUUCGAAGCACCGGCUGGUGCGAGCUUCCCUUUGAAUAGGCUGAGGUUGGACCCACCUUUUUUAGGGUCUGCAUCAUUGUGCUGAGGCUUCGGAUUAUGCAAAUGAUUAUUUUUAGCUUCGUAGUGUGCUGUCACAAAGUUUGCGACCUCCUCAGUAAUGAAUGCCUCACCAUCGAUGCUUCAAUUCUACGCUUAUUUUUACAAUUAGCUCGAAGGGUCUUCUGCAUCCUCUCAGUUGCAUAGCACCAACGAUCUUGCAUGGGCCCACCCAAUCUUGCCUCAGUCGGUAGAUGUAAAAUCAAAUGCUGCAUUGGAUUAAAGAAGCCUGGUGGAAAGAUCUUCUCUAACUUACACAACAACUCCGGUGCAAACUCCUCCAUGUCUUUUACCACGCCAGGCGACAAUUCUUUCACACAAAGAACACAGAAGAAAUAGCUCAGCUCCGCCAGUACUAGCCAUUCAUCCUCAGGAAUAAAGCCACGUAACAUCACCGACAUUACCCGCUCUAGCCAUAUGUGCCAAUCAUGACUCUAGAGACCAAAGAUUUUUAAUUUUUCAAGACUCGCUCCCCUCUUUAGAUUCGCUGCAUACCCAUCGGGAAACAUCAAGUGCAUUUUGACCCACAAGAUAAUUUCCCUCAUAGCUGGCCUUCCAAGAUUGAACCAGGCCUUUGGCUUCGACCACUUCUGCUUUCCUUUGCCUUCUCGCAUGUUUUGUAACGGUCUAUGACAUAGUGUCUCUUGAUCGACUCUAGCCUUAGUAUUAUCCUUUGUCUUCCCAUCUAUGUCGAACAAUGUACCAAAAAUAGCCUCUCCGAUAUUCUUUUUAGUGUGCAUCAUGUCGAUAUUGUGUGGAAGAAGGAGGUCUUUGAAGUAAGGCAGAUCCCAGAAGCAUGGCUUGUGAGUCCACGCAUGUUUUGAAUUAUACCCCUUGAAAUACCCUGGACGCUCUGGAUCAGGCUCGAGGGCGUUUAACUGAUCCAGGAUCUGUUGGCCUGUGAACGCAGGUGGUGCCAAGUUUUUGAUAACUUUACCUUUGGUAAAGUUCUUCUUGUCUUUUCUGAACUGAUGGUCAGGAUCGAGGAACUGUCUAUGCAAGUCAAAGCAAGAAUACUUCCGACCCUCCUACAACCGAUGAAACUGAAGAGCUGCCUUGCAUUGGGGCACGGGAACCUUCCAUGCACACACCAUCCAGAGAAUAGCGCAUACGCUGGCAAGUCAUGCAUAGAGUACAUGUACCACACAUGCAUUUUGAAGUUUUCUUUUCGAGCGGCAUCGUAUGUCUUGACCCCAUUAUCCCAAGCUUCUUCCAAUUCAUCCUUAAGUGCUUGCAGGUACACAUUCAUAUUCUUCCCCGGAUAAUUGGGCCCUGGAAUUACCAACGUCAGAAAUAUGUUCUUUCUUUGCAUAAUCUGCCCGGGGGGGGGGGGGGAGAUUGAGUGGAAUGACAAAUACAAGCCAACAACUGUAUUGGGUUGCCGUCAUGCCGAAGGGAUUAAAACCAUCUGUGGCGGCGCAGACUCGAGGAUUACUUGGAUCUGCCGCUUUAUCCUGAUGCAAUCCAUCGAAAUGUUUCCACGCUUCCCCAUCCGAUGUGUGUACCAUCAUCUUAUUCCCAUCCGCAUCUAGUUCGAUUCUUUUGCCCAAUUUGUGCCAUGUCAUCUGUCUGGCUGUCUCUUCGACCAUGAAAACACGUUGAAGUCUUGGUACGAUUGGCAUAUACCGAAGAACACUAACUGCGAUUUUGGUCUGCCUCUUCUCACCCAUACCGUUGUCUACCACAAGAUACGUGCAAGACUCGCAAUUGGGACAAUAGUCCAAGUGGGCAUACUCCUUCCUAAAUAAGACACAUCCUUUCUCACAUGCAUCUAUCUUCUCAUAGGGCAUCUUAAGUACACGAAGUAUUUUGUCCGACUGGUACAUGUUUGCAGGCAUGACAUGGCCUUUGGGUAGGAAGCGUCCAAAUAGUGUCAUCAUCGCGUCGUAGCAUUCUCUUCCCAAGUUGAACUGAGCCUUUAGAGCCAUUACUUGUGCAAUUGCAUCCAGCUGACAGAGCUCAGUGUGCUCAUGGAGAGGACAUUUUGAAGACUCCAACAUUUCAUAAAAGGCCGGUGCAGAUUCCUCCAUCUCAUCUUCCGAAUCCCGAGCAUCAUCAAAGUCUUGCACCAUGUCUUCGAUCCCGGUACCAUGCUCGUCCAUGCGACGACGGACCACCUCAGCUCUUGUGCGUUGUAUAGACUCACCAUGAAAUGUCCACACCGUAUAAUUAGGCUUAAAACCCCUCCUCUGCAGGUGUUUAGUCAUUACAGCCUCUGUUGUCUUUUUUAUAGUUGUCGCAUCCAGGACAGGGGCAAUAGUUUCUUUCCUGGCCAUUUGUGAAUGCGGCUUUCACAAAUUCCUUUGUUUUUACAAACCAUUCUUUCGUCAUCUCUUUCUGACUAGGGUGACCGGUAUACAUCCACGCACGAUUACUCAUCUUGCGUAGCUACUAAAGAUAGAAGAAAUAUAUUUAUAUAUAAUUUAGCAUUUAUAUUCAUCGGUUAAUCAGGUUCGCCAUUUUUAUUACGUCCAGGAAAUCUACACGCUAAUAGGUAAAGAUAGGUCCUAAUCCCACCCGAGUAUGUGUAGAUUGGGUUCGUUUUCCCAUGCUUUGCUCCGGAUCCAACGCAAAAUUUCGGCAGCACCUCCCCGCUGUUCUCCUGAUACACGUCUCCGCAAUAAACAGAGAGGAUGUGCAUCCGGAGAACAACAGGGAGGCACUGACAAAAUUCCACAUCGGAUCCAGAGCACAACAUACGGGAAAACGAACCCAAUCUACACAUACUCAGGUUGUCAAUGGAUAAUGUUGGACAAUUGGAAACGAUGGCGGUUAUAAAUAUGCAAAGACAUGCAUAUUUAUAGAUGUCGCCCUUUCGAACAGGAGACGCAUACUGGUCACGCAUACUGAUAAAUUAAUUUAAUUACCUAAAUCUAUAAAGUUUCAUCCGGAAACCGAGCCACAGUAAAUGAAGGGGCGGGGAGGAGAUGAAAUUUGUACUAACCCACGAAUGCAGGGGCGGAGCUCAUACAACGCACCGGCAGGUCUUCGCACAGCAGACCUCACAGCGACGAGACAACUAUCACAUGUAAAUCCACCCGAUCAACACAAAUAUUAUAAUUAUGUCAUUUUAGAGGAAAACAAGUUAAGAAUAUAAUAUUCAUGAGCUAACCAAGGUUUUUAUGCAAUUUUGUAGCUAAAUGGGCUAAUUAUCUCAUUGUUGGGGGAAAAUAAGGUCAGAAGAAUAAGAUAGGGGAGAAGAAAUAGGAGGAGGAUANNNNNNNNNNNNNNNNNNNNNNNNNNNNNNNNNNNNNNNNNNNNNNNNNNNNNNNNNNNNNNNNNNNNNNNNNNNNNNNNNNNNNNNNNNNNNNNNNNNNAAGACAUAGUUAGCUAAUUUAGCUCCAAGAAGAGGAGAAGAGGAGAAAUGAAAAGCAAGAACAAAAAUAAGAAGAGAAAGAGAAAGAGAAGGAGAAGGAGAAGGAGGAGGAGGAGAAGGAGAAGGAGGAGGAGGAGGAGGAGAAAGAGGAGAAGGCCAAGGACCUUCUAGUCCUUCUCCUCCUCCUCCUCCUUCUCCUCCUUCUUCUUUAUUUCUUCUUCUUCUCCUCCUCCUCCUCUUUCUUCUCCUAUUUCAUAUUCUCCUUGCCUUAAUUUCCCCAACAAUGACAUAAUUAGCCCAUUUAGCUCCAAAAUGCCAUAAUAACCUCAAAAUGGCAUAAGAACCUUGGUUAGCUCAUUAAUAUUAUAUACUUAGCUUGUUUUGCUCUAAAAUGGGAUAAUUAGCCCAUUUAGCUCCAAAAAGACAUAGUUAGCUAAUUUAGCUCCAAGAAGAGGAGAAGAGGAGAAGAAAUAGGAAAAAUGAAAAGAAAGAAGAAGAAGAAGAAGAAGAAGAAGAAGGAGAAGGAGGACGAGGAUGAGGUGAAGGAGGAGAAGGCCAAGGACCUUCUAGUCCUUCUCCUCCUCCUCCUCCNNNNNNNNNNNNNNNNNNNNNNNNNNNNNNNNNNNNNNNNNNNNNNNNNNNNNNNNNNNNNNNNNNNNNNNNNNNNNNNNNNNNNNNNNNNNNNNNNNNNCAACCGAGUGAAAAACGCACUGUGCGGCCAUGUGAUGAAGACACGCUCGGCGGAGUGACGGCGCGUGAGGCGGCCGAGUGAUGGAGACACGUCCAACCGAGCGGCGACAUGUGGGCGGACAAGUGAUGUAGACACGUCCAACAAAGUGGUGACGCGCGGGGCGUCCAUGUGAUGAAGACGCACUCGGAGGAGUGGCGAUGCGCGAGGCAUCUGAGUGAUGAAUACACAUCCAAAUGAGUGGCGACACACGAGGCGGCCAUGAGAUGAAGACACGCUCAGCGGAGUGACGACGCGCGAGGCAGUCGAGUGAUGGAGACACGUCCAAGCGAGGGGCAACGUGUUGGGUGCCCAAGUGAUGUAGGCGCAUCUAGCAGAGUGGCAAUGCGCGAGGUGGCCAUGUGAUGAAGACGCGCUUGGUGGAGUGGUGAUGCUUGAGUCAUGUGAGGGAUGAAGACACGUCCUGCUGAGUGGAGACCCACGGGGCGGCCAUGUAAUGAAGACACACUCAGCUGAGUGAGGGUGCGCAAGGCGGCGAGUGAUGGAGACGCGUCCAACCAAGUGGCGACGUGGUAGACAUGUGAGUGAUGAAGACGCGUACAACUGAGUGGCGAAACGCGGGGUGUCCAUGUGAUGAAGACGCUCUCGAAGGAGUGACGACGCGCUAGGCAUUAGAGUGAUGAAGACGCAUCCAGCUGAGUGGCGACGCGCGGGGCCGCCAUGUGAUGAAGACGCGCUCGAUGGAAUGAUGGCACGCAAGGUGGUCGAGUGAUGGAGAUGCGUACAACCGAGCGGCGACGUGCUAUGCGGUCAAGUGAUAUAGGCACGUCCAGCAGAGUGGUGACGUGCGGGGCAGCCAUGUGAUGAAGACGCUCCCGGCGGAGUGGCGAUGCGCGAGGCAUGUGAGUGAUGAAGAUGUGUCCAGCUGAGUGGCGACGCGCGGGGGCGUCCAUGUGAUGAAGACGUGCUUAGCAGAGUGAUGGCGCGCAAGGCGACCGAUNNNNNNNNNNNNNNNNNNNNNNNNNNNNNNNNNNNNNNNNNNNNNNNNNNNNNNNNNNNNNNNNNNNNNNNNNNNNNNNNNNNNNNNNNNNNNNNNNNNNACCCGACCGACCGUACCCGUCGGCGGCGGCGGUACGGGGCCCACGCCUAGCUAUGUCGUUCGUCGGGUCCCCCUGUCGUCCUCGUUUCGCCCUACCUCUUCCGACCUAUAAAUUCAAGAAAAAUUACCAAAAUUGCACGAGAGAUCCAAGAAAUUACUUUUCCGCUGCCGCACGCUUCUGUCUCCGCAAGAUCCCAUAUGGGGCACAUUCUGGUGCCCUGCCGGAGGGGGUAUUCGGAUACGGAGGGCUUCUUCAUCAACACCAUGACCUCUCCGAUGAUUCGUGAGUAGUUCACCAUAGACCUUCGAGUCCAUAGCUAGUAGCUAGAUGGCUUCUUCUCUCUCUUGGAUCUUCAAUACAAAGUUCUCCAUGAUCUUCAUGGAGACCUAUCCGAUGUAGUCUUCUUUGCGGUGUGUUUGUUGAGAUCCGAUGAAUUGUGGAUUUAUGAUCAGAUUAUCUAUGAAUCUUAUUUGAGUUUCUACUGAUCUCUUAUAUGCAUGAUUCCAUAUCCUUGUAAUUCUCUUCGAGUGGUGGGUUUUGUUUGGCCAACUUGAUCUAUGAUUCUUGCAAUGGGAGAAGUCCUUGGUUUUGGGUUCAUACCAUGCGGUGACCUCACCCAGUGACAGAUGGGGUAGAGAGGCACGCAUUGUGUUGUUGCCAUCAAGGGUAAAAAGAUGGGGUUUUCAUCAUUGGUUUGUGUUUAUCCCUCUACAUCAUGUCAUCUUGCUUAAAGCGUUACUCUGUUCGUCAUGAACUCAACGAGAUUAAUUGAAUCCUUGACAUAGAGGUUCAACUGAUAAAGAUCUUCGUAGAAUAUGUAGGAGCCAAUAUGGGCAUCCAGGUCCCGCUAUUGGUUAUUGGCCGUAGAGGUGUCUUGGUCAUGUCUGCAUAGUUCUCGAACCCGUAGGGUGUGCACACUUAAGGUUCGAUGACGUUUUGGUAUAGUUGAGUUAUAUGUGUUAGUAACCAGUGCGCUGGAUUCUUCUGAGGACCAAGUCUCUCUCUCUAAAAGAGAGAGGCUUGAUCUUUUUGCUGUGGUAGUAUCUCAACUUCUGUUGAUAGAUGGCCAUCCGGCUCAAGGCCAAGUCCCUUGCUUCUUCGAGGAGGUCCACACCGUCUUCUCUUGCCUCCAUAGCCUUUGUUUCUGUGUAUAGGGUGACCCGAGGCGAGUCGAACUCGAUAUCCGUGGGAAUAAUAGCCUCGGACCCGUAUACAAGAAAGAACGGAGUGAAGUCGGUCGACCGGUUGGGCGUGGUGCGGAGGCUCCAUAACACAGCCGACAGUUAUUCAAUCCAGCAGCUGGCGAAUCUGACCAGUGGUGCCACCAGUCUUUUCUUGAUGCCAGCUAGAAUCAGGCCGUUGGCCCUCUCUGCUUGGCCAUUCGACUGGGGAUGUGCCACUGACGUCUAAAUCGAGCCGGAUGCCUACCGUUGGAACGGUAGAGCGCCAGAGUGCCUUUGGCGAAGUUGGUGCUGUUGUCGGUGAUGAUGCUGUGGGGAACGGCCAUAUCGAACAGAGAUGUCCGUGAUGAACCUGACGGUUGUGGGGGNNNNNNNNNNNNNNNNNNNNNNNNNNNNNNNNNNNNNNNNNNNNNNNNNNNNNNNNNNNNNNNNNNNNNNNNNNNNNNNNNNNNNNNNNNNNNNNNNNNNUAUGAGCCAACGAAACCAUCAUUUAGGGUGCGCGCUUGAGCUUUCUGAUUCGCCCCAUCCUGUUGCGACCUUAUGAGCCGACGAAACCAUCAUUUCGGGUGCGCGCUUGAGCUUUCUGACUCGCCCCAUCCUGUCGCGACCUUAGAGCCGACGAAACCAUCAUCUAGGGUGGCACUUUAGCUUUCUGACUCGCCCCAUCCUGUCGCGACCUUAUGAGCCGACGAAACCAUCAUCUAGGGUGGCUCUUGAGCUUUCUGACUCGCCCCAUCCUGUCGCGACCUUAUGAGCCAACGAAACCAUCAUUUAGGGUGCGCGCUUGAGCUUUCUGACUCGCCCCACCUGUCGCGACCUUAUGAGCCGACGAAAUCAUCUGGGGUGCGCUUGAGCUUUCUGACUCGCCCCAUCCUGUCGCGACCUUAUGAGCCGACGAAAUUGUUAUUUUUUAUUUAUUUACCUUCCUGGCACUGCCACAAGGUUUUUCCAAACUUUUUCCUGAUUCAUCUUGAAAUAUUUUGGGUCGAUUGCUAUUUAUUAUCGCCCAUUACUCACUGAGGUGCUAGCCACCGUGACUCACUGAGCCGGCUUAUUUAAAAUAGCUUGAUGCCAUACUUAUCAUAUCAUAUACAUGCAUCAUCUUGCAUUGCAUCAUGCAUCAUACAUACAUAUCAUGCCGGUCUUCAAACCGGAUCAACGCAUAAAUUCUUGCAGGUGCAAAUAAAUCUUUGAAUAGCCAAUUUGGCUGGAUUUUCAUCAUGGUUUAUCAUAACCAGUGUUAAAUGAUUGUGGUUUUUAAGGCCAGCUCGGAAGAAUUGACUAUUGUCGAAGAGCCGCCCUAUCACAUAUAAUGCCGAGUCAUCUAAUUGACCGGCCCUUGGAUUUCUUCAACUUGUGCUCUGUAGUAGACUACAACACUUAUGGAUUUCUCAAACAUAUGGAUUUCUCAAAGGAUAUAUUUUCCGGGUUACAUUGCAAACCACGGUCGAGGAUUUCUUUUAUCACAAAGGCAUCAUCAGCUCACAGAUUGGAUAUGAUUUUAUUCUACAAUGGAAGGAAUAGCCCCGAGUCGCUACAGGCACGCAACCCGACACUCGGGGGCUACAUUAUUCAGAUCAAGAUUACAUCAAAGUAUGCAAGUCCCAUGUCGCUGCAAGCAUGCACCAUGACACUUGGGGGCUAAUGCAAUCCGCUUUUCAAAUGAUCACAUCAUCAACAGACCCGACUAUUUCAAGAAGAUAAGCCGGCCCUAGGGGGCUACAGGUCGCUCAUUGUUCAAGUAUGGAUUCUAGGAAGAUCCGGCCCAUCACACACUGAUAACCCGGCCCUUGGGGGCUACAGGUAACAUGGAUAUAUCAAAAAAUUGAAGAGCACAUUUCAUUGUGUCAUGGAGGUGAAGUAUUGGGAGACCGGUUCAGCAUAUUUUUAUGUAGUUGAAGCACCGAAAGACCGGCUCAACAUCAGACGGAUUUGUCAAUUGGAGUUCAGUUGUUUGACGGGGCACUACUAAUAAUGAUGACCCGCCAUUGUCAAUCAUGACCCGCCAUUGUCAAUCAUAACCCGCCGAAGCAAGAGAAGCUAGUUCAACAUUGUGUGGAUUUCUUAUUUCCCAAAUUUUCAUCAAGCCAAAGCAUUGGAGGCCGACUCAAUGGCAUAUGUAUUUUAUUGCAAAGGACAUGUCUCAACAAUGAGAUGAUUGAAGGCGGCUCGAAGAAACCCAGAUUUUUCAAGGAGCCACUUCAGUAAAUCAAGCCGGCCAGAGGAGCAAGCCGGUCCCUUAACUUAUUUAUUAUUCUUAUUUCAGGAGCUUACCAUGAAUAAAUUCAAGCUAACCUUGGGGGCUAAUGUCGGGGAUAUACCCCGCAGUGUAACCCGGCUUGGAGUAUGACCCGCCAAAGGACUUGGCGACUCANNNNNNNNNNNNNNNNNNNNNNNNNNNNNNNNNNNNNNNNNNNNNNNNNNNNNNNNNNNNNNNNNNNNNNNNNNNNNNNNNNNNNNNNNNNNNNNNNNNNUCACCGUUGCUAGCCUCUCUAGUGCCGCGCAACUUUCGCCAGUGCACAAAACCACCAUAUACCUUCCUCAAAACAGCCACCAUACCUACCUAUCAUGGCCUUUUCAUAGCCAUUCCGAGAUAUAUUGCCAUGAAACUCCCACCGUUCCGUCUCAUGACUUGUGCGGUAAGCUAGCGAGAUGUUUCAACGGCAUACGCUAAGCUAGAUCAUUGCACAUCCGGGUACACUGUCGGAGGCAUUUCCUAUAGAGUCAUCAUUGCUCUAAGUAUUGAGUUGUGAGUAAAUAAAAGUGUGAUGAUCAUCAUUAUUAGAGCAUUGUCCCAUGUGAGGAAAUAAAAAAGAAGAGGCCAAAGAUGCCCACCAAAAAAAUGAAAAGAGGCCAAAGAGCCCAAAAAAAGAGAGAGAAAAAGAGAGAAGGGACAAUGCUACUAUCUUUUUCCACACUUGUGCUUCAAAAUAGCACCAUGUUCUUCAUGAUUGAGAGUCUCUUGUUUUGUCACCUCCUUAUACUAGUGGGAAUCUUCAUUAUAUAACUUGGCUUGUAUAUUCCAAUGAUGGGCUUCCUCAAAAUUUCCCUAGGUCUUCGUGAGCAAGCAAGUUGGGUGCACACCCACUAGUUCUCCUUUUGAGCUUUCACUCACUUAUAGCUCUAAGUGCAUCCGUUGCAUGGUAACCCCUACUCAUUCACAUUGAUAUCUAUUGAUGGGCAUCUCCAUAGCCCUCUGAUACGCCGAUUCGAUGUGACCAUCUCCUUAUUUUUGCCUCACAACCUCAACCACACUCUAUUCCACCUAUAGUGCUAUAUCCAUGGAUCACGCUCAUGUAUUGCGUGAGAGUUGAAAAAGUUCGAGAAAGUAAGAGUGCGAAAACAAUUACUUGGCUAAUACCGGGGUUGUGCAUGAUUUAAAUUUGUUGUGUGGGGAUAAUGGAGCAUAGCCAUACUAUAUGAUUUUGUAGGGAUAACUUUCUUCGGCCUUGUUAUUUCGAAAGUUCAUGAUUACCUUGCUAGUUUGCUUGAAGUAUUAUUGUUUUCAUGUCAAUAGAAAACUAUUUUUUUGAAUCUUACGGAUCUGAACAUUCAUGUCACAUGAAAAGAAGUUACAAAGGACAAAUAUGUUAGGUAGCAUUCCACAUCAAAAAUUCAGUCUUUAUCACUUCCCUACUCGAGGACGAGCAGGAUUUAAGCUUGGGGAUGCUUGCUACGUCUCCAACGUAUCUAUAAUUUUUGAUGGUUCCAUGCUAUUAUAUUGUCAACUUUGGAUGUUUUGUAUGCAUUUUAUAUCUUCUUGGGACUAACCGAUUAACUCAGUGCCAAGUGCUAGUUCCUGUUUUUUCCGUGUUUUUGACCUUUUUCAGAGGAGAAUAUCAAACGGAGUCCAAACGGAAUAAAACCUCCGGAAAGAUUUUUUUCCCGAAACAGAAGAUACGCAGGGAACUUGAGAACCAAGGCAAAGGGCUCCGGGNNNNNNNNNNGAGGCCACAAGCCCCCUAGCCGCGGUCUGGGGGCACGCCUAGCAGGCUUGUGGGCCCCCCAUGGCUCCUUUGCCCUACCUCUUCCGCCUAUAAAUUACCUAAAAAUCUGAAACCACGGGAGAGAGCCACGAAAUACUUUUCCGCCGCCGCAAGCUUCUGUCUCCGCAAGAUCCCAUCUGGGGACCGUUCUGGUGCCUUGUUGGAGGGGGGUUCGGACACGGAGGGCUUCUUCAUCAACACCAUUGCUUCUCCGAUGGUGCGUGAGUAGUUCACCACACACCUUCGGGUCCAUAGCUAGUAGCUAGAUGGCUUCUUCUCUCUCUUGGAUCUUCAAUACAAAGUUCUCCAUNNNNNNNNNNGAUUAUCUAUGAAUCUUAUUUGAGUCUCCUCUGAUCUCUUAUAUGCAUGAUUUCAUAUCCUUGUAAUUCUCUUCGAGUUGUGGGUUUCGUNNNNNNNNNNGAUCUUCAUGGAGAUCUAUCCGAUGUAAUCCUAUUUUGUGGUGUGUUUAUCGAGAUCCGAUGAAUUGUGGAUUUAUGAUCAUAUUAUCUAUGAAUCUUAUUUGAGUCUCCUCUGAUCUCUUACAUGCAUGAUUUCAUAUCCUUGUAAUUCUCUUCGAGUUGUGGGUUUCGUUUGGCCAACUUGAUCUAUAAUUCUUGCAAUGGGAGAAGUGCUUUGGGUUCAUACCGUGCGGUGACCUCACCCAGUGACAGAAGGGCUAGCGAGGCACGCAUCAUGUUUUUGCCAUCAAGGGUAAAAAGAUGGGAUUUAUAUCUAUUGCAUGAAUUUAUCCCUCUACAUCAUGUCAUCUUGCUUAAGGCGUUACUCUGUUUGUUAUUAACUCAAUACACUAGAUGCAUGCUGGAUAGCGGUCGAUGUGUGGAGUANNNNNNNNNNGGUUUUGGGUUCAUACCGUGCGGUGACCUCAUCCAGUGACAGAAGGGGUAGCGAGGCACACAUCAUGUUGUUUCCAUCAAGGGUAAAAAUAUGGGGUUUAUAUCUAUUGCAUGAAUUUAUCCCUCCACAUCAUGUCAUCUUGCUUAAGGUGUUACUCUGUUUGUUAUGAACUCAAUACACUAAAUGCAUUUGGAUAGCAGUCGAUGUGUGGAGUAAUCGUAGUAGAUGCAAAAAGUAUUGGUCUACUUGUCUCGGACGUGAUGCCUAUAUGUAAUUCGUUCACCCACCGUAAUAUCGUCAUGACUUUGCGCGGUUCUAUCAAUUGCUCGACAGUAAUUCNNNNNNNNNNAUCGUAGUAGAUGCAGAAAGUAUCGGUCUACUUGUCUCAGACGUGAUGCCUAUAUGUAUGAUCAUUGCCUUAGAUAUCGUCAUGACUUUGCGCGGUUCUAUCAAUUGCUCGACAGUAAUUCGUUCACCCACCUUAAUAUUUGCUAUCUUGAGAGAAGCCUCUAGUGAACACUAUGGCCCCCGGGUCUACUUCACAUCAUAUUUUCUGCUCUACACUUUUACUUUGUUGCACUUUCCACCUUCAUAUCUCACCUUGCAGUUAACCGUGAAGGGAUUGACAACCCCUUUGUAGCGUUGGGUGCAAGUUUGCUUGUUUUGGGCAGGUACUUUGGAGACUUGCCUUGAUACUCCUACUAGAUUGAUACCUUGGUUCUCAAACUGAGGGAAAUACUUACUGCUACUGUGCUGCAUCACCCUUUCCUCUUCGAGGGAAAAACCAACGCAAGCUCAAGAGGUAGCAAGAAGNNNNNNNNNNNNNNNNNNNNNNNNNNNNNNNNNNNNNNNNNNNNNNNNNNNNNNNNNNNNNNNNNNNNNNNNNNNNNNNNNNNNNNNNNNNNNNNNNNNNUUGUCAAAGGGCUUUGCACCACCUACCCAUCAACACCAUUCACCAUGCCCACAAAAAAAGAGAAAAACUACUACAAUUCACCAUUGCUGACCCUGCUUAAAAUUGUCAACCAUCCCCGGGCACCACUUGGCACACAUGUUGCACGACAACAACCUCCUGCCAGAAAACCUAUCCACGAGCGGAAUUAUUCCAUCUGCACCUAGAUUAUUACACUUAGGAAUUAUGAGUCGUACGUGUGAGACUCCGACAUGACGGGGUCCAAACACCUGUAGAGGAAAUUCGGACAACCGGAUGUGUCCAUGGACUCGAUGAGGUAUCAUGUUACAUGACAAACAACAUUGGAAGAGCUUGGCCCGAAUGUAUGCGGGCAUUUUAGGGUCGGCGUUGGAGAUGCCCUUAUCGAGGGAGCUUUGCCUUUUCAUUAAUAAGAAGAAUAGAUCCAUCCAAAAAACAAAAAAAAGGUGAGAAAAACUAGUUACAAGCAAUUGCAGCCGAAUACACAUUUUUAAGGGGAGAAAAGACACUUUCUUACGGUCUUAAUUUGACUAUUAGCGAAAUGUUUAAUAAAAGGAAACGUUUACGAUCGACACGUUGGCCGAACGAUCCAGCCGGACGCGCGCUACGCGUAGGAUCCAUAUGGAUCGAACGCGUCCCAUGGGCCUCCCGCCCCCCGCUGCCCCCUUUUCCCCUUAUCCCCUUGUGUUGUUUCUGGCCAGAAAAAUGUCCCCACCGUGUUCGAUCCAUAUGGAUCCCUUCUGUUAUUUCUGCCCAGCUGUCCCUCUCCGUGCACAUCCCUAUCCAUUGGUCCUGCCCACCUCUUAUCUCUCUCUCCACCUCCCGCGUUUGUGUUGCACUGCUCCUUGCUCCUUUUUUUCUUCCUCGGAAACAUGCAGGCGGCACGAAGCCAUCCACCUCCUACAUGCUAUGUGCCGCAGUCGCCCAGUGCCAUAACUCCUCGUCCAUCAAAGCUGCCACGGCUGUCACCGGGUGCUGCAAGGGAGCAGACCAUGCGGGGGAUGCUCCAACACUUAGAAGGUGCUUGGAUCCAAAAGACUAAAACUAGUCUGACUAAAACUAGUCUCUUUAAGAGGCUAAAGUUCCAAGCACCCCUGACUAAAGAGAGACUAAAACUAGACUUGAGGCUAAAAUCUUUUAGUCAGGGAUACCCCUACUAAAAUGUGCAUUAGUCCUCUCUCUCCUCAUUUAACUCCUCAGGCAAGUUCUGGAUUGGAGGGUUUGAAGGAUAAUAAAUGUUUAUUAACUUGAUUUUAGUCUUUUUAGUACUUGAAUCCAAGCAUGGAUGAGGCUAGCAAGUUUUAGUCUCAUUACUUUUAGUCAUGGGACUAAAACAUAUCCAAGCACCCUCUUACUGGGGCGGGCGACAUGACCCAGCGGCAUCGUUUUGCUACAAACAACAAGGUGUUUUGUUGAACUAGCGACACCAAUUGCUGGAACCGUGCACACAGGAGCUGCAAACAUACACCCACGGACUGCACCUGCCGCCGACGAUGUCGGCGAAAAUGUUACAACCAUGUAUCAUGGAAGCUACAACCAUCUCUCGGAAAAAGCUACAACGAUGCACACGGGAGCUACAACCGGCAACGCCAUCGUCGGGAAAAUGCUUCAACCGUGUCCCGCACAAGCUACAUCCACAUACGUCACAGCUGCAAUCAUUUCGGUGUUGCUACAACAGUGUCACCAGAGCUACAACCGGCGACGUUGUCAUCACAAAAAUGCAUGAACCGUGUAGUGAAGAAGUUACAUCCAUGCGCAGCAGAGGUGCAAGCAUUUUGUGGCAACGCUACAGCCGUGUUGCCAGAGCUGCGAUGCAGGGCAAGCCAUGAUGCUGACGACCAUCGGUGUGUGGAGCUUCGCGACCAACGCCGCCGCUAUCAUGAUUCCCGUAUGAUGGAACCAAGCGGCAACAGAGUUACAACCUUGACAACAAAAACUAUUUUUGUAAAACCAGGAAGGAUGUGUUUCAAUCGCUACCGGUUAUGGAAGCGACAAGCCUGCCUGCGGUGUUGGUUCGAGGACUACAAGGCAGCAGCAACGGCAACGAGUUGUGGCGCGUGAGGUGGAUGUAGCCUACAACGCAGAAUAAGGACCCACGCAGGUCUAUUUCUGUUACGGGACGAAGCUAUUUGAAGAAGAAGAUAAGAUGACGUGGGUUGCAGGAUCGGGCGACUACAGAAUGCCUAAUAUGACACUGGCCGAACCCUUGGGCCGGUCCGCCGGCGCCUGCCGCCUAGCGAUCCCCUUUAAUAAAAGGUUUUCAGAGGGCUUCACACCAUCUACCCAUCAACACCAUUCACAAUUUCCCUAAAAAAACUACUACAAUUCACCGUUGCUGACCUUGUUUAAAACUGUCAGCCAUCCCCGACACCACUUAACACACGUGCUGCAGGUGCAGGACAGCAACCUCCUGCCAGAAAAUCUAUCCACGGAAUCUGCACCUAGUGUCAUACUCUCUGUGUAAAAAAAUAUAAGAGCAUUUAAAUCAUUACUUUAAUAAUCUAAACAUUUUUAUAUUUUUUUACGAAGGGAAUACUUAUAACCAUACGAACAUGAGGAAUACUUAUAACCAUACGAACAUGUCCAAUCAAUCAAUAAUCUACCGCUCGCCAUUGUUGACCCAAAACUGCCAACAAAACGGUCCCUCCCAACCACAUUGCAGUUGGCACAUGCUGGCCCGAGACGGCUAACCGCCAGGAUGCGUGCAGCUGCUUGUUGUUCCCUCCAAUAAUUGGAGCAGCAAACUUUACAGGAUCGAGAAAGGUUUUCCAAGCCAACAGCACGCGCUAUUCUUCUCACCACUUUUGUUAUCAUAGGUAUAUGAAUAAUGUAGCAUUCAUACAAAGCACAAGCCACUCGCUUUUCAGUUCACUGGUCUGCAAUGCACCGGCAGCACCGUAAGACGAGGAAUAUCACAGCCAAUCUGCAUACCACUUCCAGAAAACGCCAUCAAGAAUCAGACCAGAGCCAUCAUGCAUGUCUUGCCAUGCCAUGUCAUGCCAUGAUGCCCAUGGCUGUGAUCGGAGCGAUCCGCACACUAUGUUCAACUCCUCCUCCCCCAUCUUCAGACAACAGCUACCCUUCAUACGGCCUGCAGACCGAGCGUCCGGUCCAUCCACCUGAUGAUGUCGGCGGCGAUCUCGUCGCGCUCGGGUUCGAAGAGCAGGUCGUGCAGGAACCCCUCGUACAGCCGCAGGUCCUUGUGCCUCGACGCCGCCUCCCUGUAGAGCUCCUGCGAGGCCAGCGGGUCCGUCACCCGGUCCGCCGUGCCGUGCAGGACUACAAACGGGACAGUCACCUUCUUCAGGUUGUGCAGCAGGUAGGAGGAGAUGCGCAGGAUCUCGUGGCCCGUACGGACCCUGAUCGGCCCCGUGUAGACCAGCGGGUCAGAGUACUUUGCUAGCAGCGCCGCAGGGUCGCGGGACACCGGGAUGCCCCGCUUGUUGGCUCCCUUGAAUUGGAACUUGGGUGCAAUCAGAGAGAAUAUCGGUGCCACUGCCUGCAUUUGAUUCAGAUGAGUCUCAGUG